CAGAACUUGGCGGAGGAGAGCUCAUACCCCCACCAGGUGCCCCACCGGGUGAGGUGGGUGUAGGAGCUCCUCCGGGACCAGAAGCACUUGAAGGUGUAGGAGCUCCUCCGGGACCAGGAGCACUUGAAGGUGUAGGAGCUCCUCCGGGGCCAGGAGCUGGUGAGGAUGACGGCACUGAUGCUGGUGUAGGUGCUGGACCCGCUGGUGUUUUUGGUGCUGGGGCUGGUGUUGCUGCUGCUGGUGUUUUUGCUGGCGCCGGGGCCGAAGUCGGUGGUGCAGGUGUAGUUGACGGUGUUGAUGCUGGCGGAGGUGUGGAUGAGGGUGGAGGUGUGGAUGCUGGUGGAGGUGUUGAUGGUGGCGAUGAUGCUGGUGGAGGGGUGGCUUUAGGAGCUGGAGCUGGAGCUGCACCACCUCCUGAAACGGAGACGGUCAAUUUUUGUCCCAAGGAACAGUGCUGGCCGAAGGUGCAAAUGAAAUAUGCCUGCCCUGGGGAGGUUAGAUUGAUUCUUGCCGGACCAACAGUUUGUAGUGAGAUGGGAUUGCUUGAGGUGCAUCCGUCAUAACUUGCCUUUGAAACUACGGCCACAUCGUGAGCCCCAGUUGCGAAGUUAAAAACUGCAACAAUUUACAAAGUUUCACUACUCAUUUAUCAAGACACUCAGAAUCCUAACCUGUAUCAUCAAACUGAACACAAAAAAAUUAAAAAAAAAAAAAAUCUGAUGCCAAUCAAGCAAGAAUUUUAUAUUAGUAGUUUCAUAGCAGCAUCGAUCCAUUUCUAAGUCCAACAAAAACAAAAUCAAGAAAAGCUGCUAAAAAAAUCUAUUCAGGGUUCAGCGUGCCCUGCGACAAAGAUGUAGGGGCAGGGUACAUAAAUAUCUCGUACGUACCUAAGAUAUCACCAACUUUGAAGGUCUGUUGAGAAGCCCAGUUGGGAUAGACCGAAGAACCGGAGGGGACUGUCCAGCCCAAGCUGUCCCCGACCACAUGAGUUGCCGCAUCGGUGUUUCCUAGAAUAGCAGCGGCUAGAAUUACCAAAAGUGGCACUGCUGCAAAGGUGGUACUUGCAGCCAUACUUUCCUCUAGCUAGAGGGGCUACUUAUGUGUUCUCAAGUCGACCCCUGCCUGAAGCUUUCUAAGCUUUUGCUAAUUGUGGGAUCCUGCUCAAGCGUUCAAGAACCCUUCCGUUUCAACCAGGGAAAUCAAAUAUAAUAGAUUAUAGAGAGAGAGAGAGAGAGAGAGGAAACACAAAAGAAAAGGACGUGCGAUGAGUAGGAUGAGUUUUCCUUGGAAGUGUGUGUGGGAGGAAGAGGAUAUAGCCAUAUAGGGGGUUUCAAAAGGAUAGAUUCCACGUGGAGUGGUAAUAGUGCGUCAGUGGUAGCUAGGGAUUGGCUAUUGAAUUGAUGAGCAGUUGCUGAACGACUACCCGCAUCAGCAAUUCAGCAAACGGUAGAAACACUGUAGGAGAUUUUUGGUCCAACUAGUGGUCUUCCAACUCAACUGUUCAUCGUUCGGUGCGUUGGAAAAUGCUUUGCCCACAAACAUUGCAAAAGAGGCCUUUGAUUUUUCAAGCGCCUAAUGAAUGUCGGGCGGUGUUAGUGUCAUAAUCUAUAAAUUUUGCUAAUUCUUGAAUAAAAUGCGAAGCUUGUCUUUAUUCAAGUCAAAAUGAAACGUAGAUUGAAAAGAAGUCAAAAUUCGGACCGUGAUAAUAUCAUCAUCAUUGGCGAAUGCACACGCGUGUCCGAUCUUCACAGGCGUGGUGGAGUUGCUCUUACCAAAAAUAUCAACCGCGGAUAUGGUCGUGCAAAUUCAAGAAGUAUUCCUGGGUGGAGAACGGAAUACAUAGCUGAUGGGCAUGGCUGUAGCCUGUAAUGAAGGGGUACGAGAGUACUGUAUUUUCACCGGGAAGCGUGACUUUUCUAGUAUUUGGAGUUAGUCUACCGUCGGUCGGCAUUCCUUUAUGAAAGUGGUGAUCAAGGCCCACCACGCGUUUUUGCUGCUUCAAACUUUAGAAGUCAGCACAGACCGACCGCUUUCUACGCAAUAUUGUAUAACCUAUCAAUUUUAGCAUAGUUAUUAAACACAACCCGGGAGGGAACCCGGUGAGCGAGGUGGGUCAACGGGUUACUGGUUUAACCAGUAGGUGAGAGGUUGAACCGGUGGGUCACUAAAUAUAUUUAAAUAUUAUAAUUCAUAAUUUUAAAUAUAAGAUAUAAGAUAUAAAUUGUAAUAACUAAUGUCAUAGCAAAUACUCAUAUAAUUUAAUUUGCUAUAAAAUAAUUAAUUCAUAUAAGAAUCAAUAAAAUAUAAAAUUAUUUAGUAAUACACCAAAUUUUAAGUAUAAAAUUUUAUCUAUAUUCAGUGUAAUUAUCUAACUUAUUUAUAAGUUUUAAGUGCAAAAAAAUAUUAAAAAUAAUAUUUGUCUUUAAAAUGAAUUAUGUAAUAUGUUAUUUUUGAAGUCUAUUUUAUAACUUAUAGAGUUUGGGGGUCAUAAAUUUUUAUUAAAAGAUUCCAAAUAAAUUUGUUUUAGAGAAAUGAAAAAAAGAUAAAAUUGAAAAAGGUUUAUAUAUUAUAAGUAAGAAAUCUUAGCACCAUAUUGUGAAGUAGCUUGGUGGUGUCUGCGUUGUAGCAAUGCUCAUAUGUCCAAUGUUCGAAUCCCAUCAAAGGCAUAAAUUUUUUCUCAGGAACCCGGUUUGUAGACAAAACCGGCCGGGUUUCCGGUUUAAACCGGUCAAACCGCCGGUCCGUUGACUAGAAUGCUCAUAUGUCCAAUGUUCGAAUCCCAUCAAAGGCAUAAAUUUUUUCUCAGGAACCCGGUUUGUAGACAAAAUCGGCCGGAUUUCCGGUUUAAUCCGGUCAAACCGCCGGUCCGUUGACUAGUCAACGGGUUGAUUGCUUAAACGAUCUAACUCAAAAUCCAGUCCGGUCCAAUGUCCGGUUCACCGGUUUGACUGAUUCGACUGCCGGACCGAGCCGGGUUUAAUAACUAUGAAUUUUAGACUAGAGAAAAAGGAGAGUCCGAAGAGUCUUUGUGCAGAUACAUAAAUUUUACUAGAUUAAAGAAGUAUUUUGUCAUAAUUUUUAAAUUUUUUUUACUAUAAAUGGGAUCUAAACCCUCACUAAUAGUCCAAGCAGGAUUUUAAAACCCAAGCUCAGUGAUUACCGCUUUCUACAGUUGAAAUGUCGACCAAUUUAGCUUAUGGUUCUGAACACUGAACUACGAGAAGAUAAGAGUCUGUUAUCCCUUUGAAAUGUCAGCAAAAUCUAAUGGCUUAAGGGUCACCAUUUGUCCCGAAGAUGGUUGGCUGAGGAGCCCCUCUUCGCUUCCUUUUUGUUUGGCAGGGAGUCGUUUCAUAUCGGACGCGGGGUUGGAACGGUUGUCAGAACAACAGCUCCUGAAGGUGUAACAUUAUUUAUACAUGAUGUAACAUCAUUUGUACAAAGUGUAAUAAUAGAAUAAUAGCGAGUAACACUAGAACAACAUUUUUGUGAGUCCCACACGACGUGAAAAUCGAAUUACAAGACGUGAUUUGAACCGCACAAAAUUUUGAGACCUCAUCCAGACCGUGAACUGCCUGGGACGGUUGUCUCUGGACGAGGGGCCCUCGUCCUUUCAUAUCAUACAAUAUGAGCCUAGUGAAACAAAUCUAAACACAUCAAUAUAUAAUAAAUAUUAAUUUUUUUUCGCAACAGCGACAAUCCACCGCACUACUGAUUUUUUUUUUUUUAUUGUUUUAUACGGAAUCUUUUUGUUUCGUAUGGAGUCGUUUCAUAUAAUAUGAGUCUAGUAAGAAAAUCUAAAUAAAUCAAUACGUGACAAAUAAAAUUUUUGCUUUUUUUGCAAUGGCAACAAUCUAGUGCACUGCUGUACUUCCUUAUCAUUUCAUGCAAUAUGAGCUUAGUUAGUAAGAAAAAUCUAAAUACAUCAACACAUAACAAAUAUAACUUUUUUUUUUCAAACCAUGACAAUUAAGUGGACUGUUAUACUUCCUUGUGAUGCAUUAAACAGACUAUUAUACUUUUUAGUUUUUAUGAUGCACUAGACAUUAUUUAAAUCUCACACCUAGGGCGCCGGAGAGAUUUAAAGUGACUCUCCUAGACCAUUGACCAUUGACCAUUGGACCAACUCCCAAUGGUUACGUAACAACCAUUAACGUGAAGUAUUAAACUGAACGAAGAAAACCUUCAAGUCCAAUUUCUUGAUAUACAUAUCAUUGUAAGCCAAUUGACGAGUGACUUGGGUAGUGUUUUCUCUGGCAAUGACCAAAAGCCAUAAAAGAUGUACAGUCCACAUCCAUGAAGGAACCAAGAAAUACAAAUCGGGCAUGCCAUCAAGUUGGAGGCGCUGAGGCCAUGCCUUUAUGCGCGGCGGGCCGGGGAGCCAAGCUUGGUGGGGGUGAAAAGAUGUUUGUUCUCCCCCCCGGCGGCGGGGGCGGGUUUUUUUAUUCGAAUUGGCGCAGUGAAAUUAAUGGCAUUUUCCAUCCUAUAGAAAAAGAUCUUCUUUUUAUUUCUUUAUUUGAAAAAAUAAAAGUAAAAAGUGAUGACAUCUGAAGCUUUAGCCUUUAAGCAUUUUUUUUUAAAAAAAAAUUAUUUUAUAGUUGUUUAAAGCGGAAAUUGAGAACUGCAAAAACAAAUUCUAUAGGAGAAAAAGUGCUCCUACAAUGGAAAAUUAGUGAGGGCAAUUCUGCUUGCAUCCUUUAAAGUUUGUACAACUACAGGAGUCUACUUUGUGUGUCCCAAGUACUACGUUGAAAUCCCUAUUAUUUGUUUGACAUUAUGGUUGAAAAAGUAAUGGAUAUAUUUUCGUUGGAAUUACGUGGUGUCAAGAUAAUCUUGAAGUAAUGGAACAUCUUAAGAUAAGAUAUAUCAACAUGGAGAAGGAGGCUUAGAAAAAUGGGGCUUCAAAAAUUCGGAGGAAUUGUUGUAUUUUUGGCUAAAAUAAUCUACUUUUUAAAAAAUAAUUUCAAAGUAAUGCUCUUUUAGUUAUUCCUUUAUUAAUUUAAUUAUUGCCAUGUAGACUCUACAUCAACGGAAAAAAAUUACUUGUAAAUCUUUUGUUUAAAUAUUACAUAGUUUUUCUUUAUUUAGUGCCUUAAGGACAUCCUGUCAACAAAUUAAAAAAUGAAAGUGAAUCUAUAAUUAGUGUUUUUAAAAUUGUUAAUCACCCUCCAAAUUGCAAUGAUUUUGCCAAAGAACCUUUUUUUUUUCAUUAAACACGUACAGAGGAAUUAAAUACGCCAUUAGCUAUCAAAACUAGCUUUUGGGGUACGAUCAAAAGGUCUCCUUUCCAAUAGAAACUCGACGCUCUUCUUCCCCGGGGUCCACCUUUCUAUGCAGAUGGCAAUUGAGGAAACUGCCGACACCUUCCAAUUAGAAUAAAGGCAUAUUUUUACUUUGUAGAGAAUUUUAGAAAAAAAAGUUGUACCAGGUGGAAUAAUUCACCCACUAUUUAUUUCCCAUAAAAGAAAGACAAGAAGAGGCCGUUCACAUCUAUUUCCUAAUCAUCUCCAACCACCACAAGUCAAGAUGAAAUUAUUUUUGGAGAUCCAUAUGUAUAUAUUUAUGCUGCUCUCUUUUUGGCAAAAAAGGAAAGAUUACACCAAUUAUUUCUCACAUAUUAUUGAUGAUAAAUUUAGUUCAUCAAAUUUAAAAUCACCAAUUUUAGUUCCUAAUAAAUAAAACCCACAUAUUUUUUAUGUGUGGUCAGUAUUUAAAAGGCAACUCUGAUAACUCACUUAAUGUUAACUUAAAAUUUUCACUUAAUCUAUUUAUUUCUCCUAAUUUUUCUUCACUCAAACCCUUAUUUGACAAAUCCAAAAAUAUAUACACACACCUCCCACUCUUACUAUCAUCUUCCCUACUAUUCCCACUUUCACUUGCUGUCACAUUUGAUCUCUUCUCACUCCUUUCUUGCCACCGCUUUCUCUUCUAUCUCUCUCUUCUUUAGUUUUCUCCUCCUUUUCCCUGCUGAUAGGUUGCAUUUUAGUGGGUAUUUUGGGCAUUAUUGCAUAAUUAUUUGACUAAAUAUUUUCGUUAAUUGGGUGGAUUCUACUGAUAUUUUGUUUUGGUGCUAAUUGCAGGGAUGGUUGCUGAAAAGUGCUUAAAUUCAACUUUUAGAAGAUUCAUCGGACGUGGGGCCCAUUUGAAAAGUUAAAGAAACCUAAUUGUAAUAGAUUUUAUUUUAAUAUAUUCCUAGGGAGUCUGGCUGCAGUUUUGGGGACAAGUAACAAUUUCCGGCUAUUGGGAAUACUAUUUAUCUCUCGCGCGGCUUGGGUUAGAAGGGGGUUCUUUUUCUCUUUGUUUUGGUUCUUCUUUGGCUCUGGGAGGAGACAAAACAGCCGCAGCUUUGUAGGGAGAAAGGAAUAGCCACUUUUGUUGACUUUGGGGAUUCUAUGAACUAUUGAUUUGUUCUGUGACCAAAUUGAGAAGUGAAAAAACAAUUGCAAUCUUCCAAUCUCUCGUAUGUUUUCUUGCGUGAGAGAAGAGAGAAAGUAAAAGUGAGCCGCAAUCGUGGACUUUGGUCAUUGCUUUUCAUUCUGGCUUUGACCGAAGGAAAUUGAAGCAAUCGUAAUCCAUUGUCGCUCUUUUCUCUCUUCGGUUGACCGAAGUGUACGAAGGUCAAGUCUUCCGUUUGCCUAGAUUAAAGAAUUGACGGCUUCCUCCAGCUUUGCCGCAUGGCCUGUACUCCAAUUAUGAGGAGCUAAUUCUUCAAUUCUAGUCAAGGGGACAACUGACGAUUUGGUUCAGAAAUUACUGUGAGAUCGAAUUUAUUUUAACUAUUUCCUUCAUUUAUUAAUAUUUAUAUAUUUCCUGUUUUUAAGUGUUAUAGCCGUAUGUAUGAUUGAUUAGUGCGCAAUAAUUAAUUGUUCAUAUAGGCUAUUUUGCUAUAUAGGGGUGAUUGAAUCCGUAAUUGUUCGUUACUUCUAUUCCAGUAGCAACUGGCACAAUUGGAUUUGUGUCAGGGAAAUAUUUGAUCUGGCUUGAAUGAACCCUCGUAGCGUGUUUGUUAGUCAGGAUUGGGCCUUUCUAAUUACUAAUGCAAUCUAGAAAUUGAAUCCUACGGUCGUACCUAGGGUUGUUUUUGGGUUAGAGAAAUAGCUAACGGUCGUACCUUAGCUAUCGAUAAAUUAAGGAAGGGUUGGUUGUUUAGCGCGUGCGAGACAACUAGAACCAAUCUAUUAAUAAAGGUUGGAAUUAUUUUUUGCAUCAAUGAUCAGUGCAUGAACCAUUUCUGAAGUAUACCCUUGGCUAGAGUUUCUCUUAGUUAUUUCUUUUAAUUAAUUAGUUUCUGCAUUUAAUUUGUUCAGUUGGCUUUUGAUACCAAAACCCCCCCAUUAAUCUUGAUUUGAAAAGAAACAAAUAUUUCUCCAGUCCCUGAGGAGACGACCCUGCUUGCCACUGUCUGCUAGUUAGGGAGUUCAGUUAAAUAAUUAAUUCAGGUAUAUCGGAUUAAGCAAACUCUUCGGGAACAGGGUGAAUCAAGUAACCCAUUGCACACCUAGAGUCCCUGCUCCAGUACUCGAAUUGAUUAUUAGCUGUUUCAGGUGGUAGUUAGGAUUUAUUUAUUAUUAUUGCACAGGUUCGGCACCUGUCACCUGCUUAUUUUUCUCCGACCACUACUCAUUCUGCCACCUCUUCUUAUUUUCUUCCCUCCUCUUUCUUUCCUAUUCUCUUCUCCUUUACUUUCCCAUUAUUCCUUGCUUUCUCUUUUCUUCUUUCUCUUCUUCUUCUUAACUUUUGUCUCUCCAUACUCCCCUUUUUCCCAGCGAUUUGGUUGUGUUCCAAGUGAGGGAAAGAGAGAGGCACUAGAGAAGGAGAAAGGGGAAAAAAGAGUGGCAGAGGAAAAAAAUAAGACAGAAGAAUGAUAAAGUGGGAGAAGAAGAGAAGAAUAGAGGGAGAAAAAGAAUAGGUGGUAGGAGAAGGAGUGAAAGAGAAUCAAGAGUGCUGAUGGAAGUAAAACGGUGGUGAAAGAUGAAAAUGGAUGUAUGUAUUUUCAGGUUUGUGAAAUUAGGGUUUAGAUGGAGAAGAAUUUAGAAAAAUGAUAGAUUAAGGUUUUGUUUGAUAAAACUGAAUCUGAAUUUUGAAGUUUGAAUUCUGAAAUCUGAAUACUGAAACAAUUAAUUUGCUGAAUUUUAAGCACUGGAAAAAUAUAUGAAUGUUUGAAUUUUAAUGCUAAACUUAUUUAUACCGUUUGAUAAAUAUUUAUAGCUGAAUGCUUAAUAAGUUUAAUUUAACAAUUUUGCUCUUAUAUCAUUUCAUUCAAAAAAGAAAUAGAAUCUAUUAGUUUAAAAUUGUUAGGUAUGAAAAUGAUAAUAUUUAUUUUUGAAUCAAAUUAAUAUAAAAGAUGAAAUAUAUUAUAUAAGGAGUAUGGAGAAGAUGUGAAAGUCAUUAAAAAGGGAGAAAAGAGAAACUAAAAAUUGUUAAAUAGAGAAUAUUAUGUUGUUUAAUUAGAUAAGAAUUUUGAAAAUAAUUAACAAACAAGGAUAGAUUUGGUAGAUAAGAUAAGGUAGUUGAAAUAAUUUUAUUGAUUCUUAUCAGAAUUAAGCAUUCAAUUAGGAUUCCUGUACUGAAAAAAAUACACACAGGUUCAGCACUGCUUAACAAAUUCAGCAAAUAGAUUUUCAUUUAUCAAACACUCAAAACAUCUGAAUGUCUGAAAAAAUUCAGAUUCGACACUUUUUUAUGUUAUCAAACAGACCCUAAGUCAACAAUUGUAUUAAGUAAAUUGUCUGAUUUGGCAUUUAAAUAUUGACCAUGUGAAAUGUUCUAACUUAUUUCGGCCAAAAUUUGACUUGGAAGGCAACAAAAGACCAAAAAAAGUAUUUUAGUCCUAACAAAUAAAAAUUACUUUUUUAAAUCCCUAUAGAAAAUUUUGGUAAAUUUUCUAUAGGGAUCACUAAUACGACGAAAAUAAAAUAAAGAAUGGUUUGGUUAACAGGUGCCUAAUGAGCCGCCGUUAAGAGGGGUCUUAAGUAUUACUUUCUAGAGGGGUUUCAAGUAUUAGUUCUUUAGAUAAAUUUAGAGGUUUUUGUUUAAUGAUUAAGAUUGAAACUUUAGAAUUUAAAGGUUCUGGAUUCAUACCCCUAUUUUUCCUCCUCAUUCCUUAAAUCUCACCAUUCUCCCAUUUAAAUUUUUUAAAAAUGUAAUUAAUUUAAGAAAGUAUAUAAAUGCAGGGGUAUAAUAAUUAUGAUUGUGUUCACCCCUCCCCUUUUUUUAAAAAAAUUAAAAUAUAAUUAAUUUGAGAAAGUAUAUAAAUGUAGGGGUAUAAUAAUUGUGAUUGUGUAUAUUCAUAUUACAGCUUAAGUGUAAUCUAGAUGUGCUAACAAAUGCCCACUAAAGAACUAGAAAAAUUAAACAAAAAAGUCUUUGAUUCAUUUUGGAAAAUUAAAAUCAUAGGUUUCAUAUUUGCAUUCAAAUUGAAGAAGGCCCAUCAAAUAAAGGCCGUUAUUAGCGAAUCCAUGCUGGAUCUAAACUUGACCUUGUCUUUUUCCUUUCAAUAAAUCUUUGAUAAUGUUAUAGGUGUCAAAUAAAUCCAUUUAACUAAAUUUAUUCAUAUUCAUCCAUGAAUAGAUGGGUAUAGAUAUUUUAAAUUUUUAUAUAUGGGUAUAAAUAUGUUAUCCAAUAAUACCUAUUUAAUAAAUGGGUAUAAUGCCCAAUAAUACCCAAAACCUUAAACUCAUUUAAUAAAUAAGUAUAAUUGAGUAACCAACCAAAUAUAAUUAACCCAUUUAGAAUUAUUUUUACAAUCACAUCCAUUUAGAAUUGUCUUCAGCAAUAAUAUCCUAAUUUCUUUAUCACCUUUGACCAAAGGUAGCAUCAAAAAGUGGAGAACCAAACGGAAAGGUGGGAAAAUAUGUUAGCCAAUUUUUAACUAAAAGAAUAACUAUGCACUUGGAGAUUUUUCUGUCCUGUUUUCAUUUGUAUUUUCCUAGUAUCCAGUUUCAAGUUCAUAAGUUGGUCAAUCAUUGUUUAAUCUGUCUUUUUCAUGGUUCCAAAUCCUUUCCCUAUUGCACAACAAAUUAUUCAAUUAUUAAAUAGUAUUUAAUUUUGUCACACAGCACAUAGAUGGAAAAAAUGUUGGUAAUUAGAUUUAUCGGGCAUUAUAAGUAAAUAUUUUAAAAUUAAUGAUCGGUACAAACUGCAAAUGGUGGUAUCAAUUGAUAAUUUAGUGUAUAAAAUAAAUUUAGAUGAGUUUGUAAAAAGUUAAAAUAAAUGAAUUGUAAAUGAAUAAUUGGACUACUAACUCAUUUUUUUAUUUAUUCACUUAUAUGAAUAUCCAUCUAAUUAAAUGAGUAUAAAUGGAUUGACUCACUUAUAUCCAUUACCCAUUUUAACCCGUCCAGGUUACCCAUUUUGAUUGAUAAUCAGCUCUCUUUUUCUCACCUUUUUUGGUUCCUUGCGUACCAAAGUUGGAAGACAAAAGGAGAAUCAAAAAGGAAAAUGGAAAACCUCAAGAAUGCAAACCAAUAAUGCUAGAAAGUUUCUUCUUGAAGUUAUGGGUCAAAUUUGGUUCCUUUUUAGCCUGCCUCAAUCACCAGGAUCAUUGUCGGCUUUACACUUUGCUGAACAACCGGAUGGCACUCAGAAAUCAGUAGACUCUCGAAGCAUCGGAUGCCCAUACAAAGGAAAGCGAGUGAUUCAGAUCCCAUAUUCCUUUGGAUAAAAUAUCAAUUAACAUAGCAAAACUUAUUUGGUCAAGGCUCCGAUUUAUAUCAAUUUCGAGCCCCAGCGAAAAGGGUAACACACUCAAGUCAAUUCGGAGACGGCAAUUAUCGGAUGGAAGAGAAGACAAUUACGUCAAGUCCCCGUUAAUAUCAUCAAUCCAUAGAUGUGGCAAAACUUCAAAGUCGCCGUUCUACGACCGACAUUGCCGUUCCCAUAAUCCGGACAACCGCGUUUAAGAGUCCGAAGCCAGAUAAAUCCCAAAAGCCAGUCAACCAUUUUUGUCUUUUCAAGCACAGGGUACUAAGUUUAACUCAUUAUCCAGAUUAACCGGAAAAAAAAAAAAUAUAUAUAUAUAUAUAUAUAUAUAUAUAUAAUAAUAAUUAGGAGAUUUUUAAUUGAACUACAUAGACAAGAUAUCAGACACCAAGUUUAUUGGACAUAGACAUGUAUACGUUGGCCAAACAAAUACUCCAAACGAUCAGCAACUUCGAAAGAAAAAAGAGGAAAAAGAAGUAAUAUGUUCUUUUAAUGCACUGAACGUGACAUUUGAUGGUAGCUGAUCUACAGGUAUAAAGAUUUUUCCUACUGCUAAUCUGGUGUGAAAAUUCAAAGCAUUGGCCCCCAAGCGAGAAAAAAAAAAAUGGUGGUGUAGUUUUAUUCCAUUCAUCCACCCACUUACAAAAUCAAAAGAAAGACUACACUUGAGACUGCUAAUACCAACGUUUUGGACCCAAACCUCCUUCCACCUUGGAUUUCCUGAAACAUUGCACGUCAUCAGAUUUAAUAUUGAUAGGAGGAUAAACUAUGAAUCAAUCAAAACUAUAGAAACAUGACAAGGACUUAAAAAAUCUCUUGCUCAAGUCUCUGGCUGACGGAGGGAAAAAAGAAAAAGAAAAAGCCCAUCACUUUGAACCAAACAUUGAAUUGUAUAGCAUAUGCUGGUGAUACCCAAGAACUGAAAACGCAGAAAGAAACAUUUGAAAACAUAACCCUUUAUCUUGCUAAGAUGAAUUGAGACAAGUUGCCCAAAUGAUAAUUUUUCAUGCUACUUUUAAAAAAUUAGAGCUGCAUAAUCUUUGCUCCAACGCCAGGCGAAAGCUGUGGCUUAUAAUGUCAGUGAGAGAGUAGGACACUGAAUUGACAGUUCGAGAAGUCAAGAACAACACAAACUCAAGACGACAAUGAGUGACAAUUUUACCUCCAUUUCACAUGCAUCUGCAUAAACUAGAGGAUUCCAGGAAACAACAAAAAAUUUUGCCUUUCCAGUUAAAUUGAGGUAAUGUUUAACUUAAGAAUUGACUAAAAUGGCCGGGAGUUCGUAAAACAUUAAGCUAAAAGCAGAUUACACAAUAAUUAGGUUGGUAGAUAGAUAAAAAUCCAUGGCUGGGUCAUAUAUCUGCCAUGCUCCCAUGCCUUGGCCCACACAUUAUAACAUUUAGACAAUUUAGAGUAUCAUAAAUUAUCUGAAGAACUCAGUUAUUUUGGGUGGUCAAGUAUAGAAGUUAGAGGUGAGGAAAGUAUUUAGAUAAUUUAGAUUAUGAUAACACCUCGGCCUUCAAAAAGCCUACCAGUACCAUCCAGCAAGCCCCUUUUCAUUUGCACAUACUUUCAAUCAAUAGACCUCCAAAAGGGGAUAGUGUUGCAAAAGUGUUCCACUUAAGGUUCAGCAUAUUACAAGUUAGCAUAGUAUUGAACAACAUGAUUAUUACGAAAUUGUUCAAGACCUUUUGAUCAGAAUUAAGUAGGUAUAUGAGAUAUCAAAAGAGUAUUGCUUACUCAUUACAAAAUUUAGUUAUGCAUUCAUGAAAAGAGGAAGUCAACGUCAACAUUGAGAACACUUGUCAAUAGGAAUUUUCCUUUUGCAAGGAUUUACAAAAAGUUCAACUCAUUAUAUCCGUAAAAAAAUGUAGGAACUGAAACCUUAAAAGACAAACCUUCAAAAUCCAUAAUUGAUUAUUCUUUCAAAUUAAACUUUGUGCAAAAUCACAUACUAAUAUUUAUAAAAGGUGCCAUCAACAUAUAAGCUCAUGAGAAUGAGAUGGUCGAGCAUAAGAAGUAUAAAAGACAGUUUGGUGGUGCUUUGAAUGAUAUCCAUUUUCAGGGAUUAAAAAAUUUACAAGACUUUCAAACUCAGAGGAUAUUGUUUGACAGAAUCACCUGAAAAAAAAACAUAUCCUAAGAAUCUUUAACUCUAGCCCAUGAAUUCUUGCAAAAAUUGCUUACAAUAACAUAUGAGACAAUAGCACCUAAAAAUUAACAUACUUCCUAGAUCCAGGAUAGGUUAGCAAACAUGAUUUAUUACACACCGAAUUUGCUAAGCUAAAAAAGAUGUUAUUCAAGGUUAACUCUUUCGGUCCUAGGCUUCAACAUCUUUUCUAGAAAACACCAGCCCCAUACCCUAACCCCAUACCUAAGAAUGAUCUUCUUAUCCAAAAUAGAAGCAAUAUAGUCUGUCAGAGCCAUAGCAUUUAGGUCAUCCUCUGAUUGCAUAUUUCUGUUGAAAUGUUUGUAAAUGGAAAUUUUAACACACAGUACGCUGAUAUCUCAGAGGAGAAAGACAAUUUUUUCUGUUCAAAGAUUUCAGAGUUGCAUAGCAAAAGAUGCACAAUUCGCCAAACAAACUGUUUUCAUGUUAUAGAGAAAACUGUUCCAAGACACUAUAGGGGCAUAGAAGUGGCUCCUUUGGUUCUUGCCCAAUUAAUGAUUUCCAGAAUUUGAAAGCAUAACAGGUGAUUUCCUUUCCUACAAGUGUUUUUAUCAAUAGAGAAAGGAUAUUUUUGCAAUUUCACAAUCUCUAAGAGAGUAAUAGGUAGUGUGGAAUCGCAGGGAUGCUGUUUUGUGAAAAGGUCAAAAUCUUUUUAGACAUCUUGAGAACUCAUAAGGGUAGAGAUUCUGCAAGCCAACAGUUGUUAUUACGUACUAGACUGGUUAAGAAAUGGUCAAGAAAUACCAGACCAGUAAAUAAAUGGUCAAGAAUGAUUUGAACUUCAGCACAUAUGUUAUCCUCAAACUCCUGAAUGCCUGAUUAGACAACCAAUAAGGGAGCUGGGUCUUCAUCCAACAAGCUUCUGCACCUCUGAAGUUAAAACGACCUACUAUCUUCAGUGCCCCAAGAAAAGCUAGAUCCCAUCUUCAUACUACUCCUUUAUUACCAUCAAUUGUUUCAUCAAACAAUUUCAAAGUUUUUACCCCAAUUCCGCAAAAAGGAUAUGCUAUGAGUGUAACUAUCAUAAUCCUAAAGAUAAUAAUUAAACAAAAUCCAAAGAAUUAUGUCAAAGUUUACGGAGAACACCAGAGAGGAGGCAAAGUUCAAGAGGUAUAGCCGAUAACUAAUCACAAUAAAGGCAUAUGAGGAUACCUUCAAAGAAACUGCAGAUGAAGAUUUAAGUCCAGGAAACCCAAUGUCAUAUGAAAUGCUCAUGUCAGGUUUGUAUAGUCCAUAGUUCUUCUCAGAAGCUGCACCAGGCUUUUGAUCUUCAUUAAACAACGCAAAAAUAUAUGCUUUCAACACAGUUUUUGGCCUCAAAGGUGUUCCCUUCUUCUUAGCAAGCCUUUUCCGCAAAUUAUAAUUGUAUGUCCUAGCAUUGUUUUGUGUGGCAGCGGGCUCAUUCUGGUCCCCUUGAGAAGCCCAUCCUGUCUCUGUAAUUAUAACUUCCAUCUUUUUAUACCCAGCAUCUUCUAAAGCAGCAUAAGCUGCAUCUAUCUGAGCAUCAAGCAAAUUAUCAUAAUGAAGGUUGGUUUUCUGAUCGUGUAUACCCUCAUUUGGCUGAAAGAGGGCAUAGUUUACAUCAAUUUUGUCCGAGGCAUAGGUGUAAGCCAGAAAGGGGUAAGCAUUUAGACAAAAAGGGGACUUGAUUUGAGAAAAAAAGUCCAAGAGCGGCUUCAUAUAUUGAGAAACACUCUCUUUGAAAGUACAGUUGGAAGGAGGGAAUGAAUUGUCGAAAACACCCGAAAAAUGAGCAGUGGAGAUCUGAACAAUAUCAUCUAUCCCCAACUUUUGGGUUGCAUUAUGGAGAUUUUUAACUGCACCCAGUAAAGAUCCCCAAAGAUCGGAAUUAGCACCAUUUCCCAGAAUUUCGUUACCAACAGCAAUCCCAACAAUACGCGUAUCAGGAAGAAAUGCCUUCACAUUAUCUUUGACCCAAGUCAAUGCGUGAUCUACGUUAGUACUCAUUUCCUUCACAUGGUCAUUAGGAAGUCCAAUUAUUAACUCAAGUCCAGUGCCACUAAAGCCCUGGAGAACACUAUGAUCCGCAUCAUAAAUUCUGACAUUCUUUAUCUUUGCUGCCCUAAGGAGUUUAGCAACUUUGUCUGGUGGAGGAAGGUUAUCUGCAAUUCUCCCGUAAUUGAUUCCAUAAGUUCCCGUGAAUGCUCUCACUGUGAGCUUUGCUGAAAUGAAAAACAAAGGAAACAGUUGUAACCAAGAAAGAAAACUGUCCGUGACACCAUGAACCUGAAUAGUUUGAAUACAAACUCAUACAUUUGCAAAGGCUUCGUCUUUCAACCCAGGAUACAGUCAGCAACAAACACAGAUUUAAAUUAGACCAAUGGCCAACAAAAGUUUACACAUAAUUAUAUAAGAUCUUUAAUCAAAUCGAACCAUAUUAUUACCAAACCCCCCCCCCCCAAGUCUCAAUACUAGUUACCAUUUCAACGGAGUCAAAUGCGCGCUCACACAACACACACAUUCCCAUAGGCCACCAAUGUCGCAAUUAGAUAGUUGUGGCACAAGAGUAGCAUAUGAAGAGUAAAUAUACUGCCCAAUCAACUGCUGAUAUCUUCUUAAGCGCACAGCUCAUAACAUGUGAAUCUAAAUUACGAGUGCCAUGCAGACAAUUUAGAACUUCAAAAUCAAUUGAAAGUUACAGACUUAAGUCGUACAAACAAAUAAUAAAUGAGAAGAAGAAGCAGCCAACUGAUGAAAUUUCACCAAGAAUAAAAACCAAUUUCCAAUUUAAAAAUGAAGAGAUUGGGAAAAGCAAACGAAAAAGAGUACUUAGUUUUCACCAGCAGCACCAGCAGGAUGGAAAAAAUACUGUUCUUUGGACUGAUCUUUAAAAAUUAGAAAUCAGAAAAAAGCAGAAGCAGAAAUCAAGAAUAAGAAAAGCUGUAAUCAAGAACAACUGAAGCGUACCAUUUCCGGUGAAAAGGUUGAAGGCCAAGAGCAGAGAAAUGAACCGCACGCAAAAUUGAAGGAUCCUCAUUGAGAUACGUAACCAAGAAACCCCAAUAGGACGCCCCCGCUGUUGUUGUCUUGUCCUGCUGCUGCUACUGAUGUUCUUUCAAUUGAACAAUCCUUCCUCCUACUACUCAACCAUGCCAUUAACCCACUACCAAAAUUUCAUUCCUUUUCUAAUUUUCGCUUUUCUUGACAAGCAGUACUAGUAUGGUGGCGCCAUCAAUAAUCAGUGCCGACCUUUUUUCUUAGCUCCAUCUUGUCUUGUCUUUUGGUUAGCUUUUCAACCAGACCCUUUUCACAUCCAACAAUAACUAAAAAAUAAAUCAGAUACUCCCAGAAAUAGUAGACUGAGCGGCGGCGGUGGCGGCGGGCGGCAGAGGGACACGGUGAUGGGUUUAGGGGUGGCUUUCUUUUCUCUAGUCUCGGCUGUUAGCCUGUUACUUUAAAUAAUUUUGGGUUUAAUAACUGAAUUUAAGUCGUGUGUACUCUCUGUAUUUGGAAUUUUGGUUGUGCUUUUUUCUUUUUGGUGACUGUCUGUAGCUUGAUAAUGGAGAUUAUUGAAGCUGUGCCAGAACAGUAUAAUAGACUUACUAUUUGAAUAUGUGAAUUGUCUGUGCGAAAAAGACUACUAAAACGCUGAUUCAAAACGAAAGAAAGGAAGACCAGUCCAGUCGAACUGUGUAUCCGUCUUGCCAUUUUUUUUAAUUAUAUAUUAUCCUUCAAGUGGCCACCACGCCCUUCCCACAAAGUCAUGUUGACAAGGCCCACUUUUGUUACUUUUUUUGUUUUCCUCGUUUUUUAGAGACAAAUAUACUCUUUUCAAGGGAAUAAAAUUCAGUGUUUUGAGGAGGAGAACUAACGGGAUUCUUUUAAUAUGAUUAUUAGUAAGUCACCCUUGGAAAAAUCAUUUGCAAUAAUAUAGCACUUUUUAUGAGAUCCUUAUAUUAUAUAAGACUGAAUUUUAGUCAAAAAAAUAGGUUGAAUUUCAACCGCAUAGGUGGGGGCUUUCUAAAAAUGUGAAAUAUUGUGUAUUAGUUUAAAACUUUUAGAUACAAAUUAAGGAAACAUAUAUUUGGGUAUGUUUACUGAAAUAACCCCAUUUUAAUAUAUUUAAAGUUGUCAUUGAUGAGCCAUCUGAGUAGAGGUGGCAAUAUGGAUAAAUGGUUCAUAAUUGGUUUUGACUUAAUGGAUGGUGGAUGAAAUUUAUCCAAUCCAUAUAGAUCCAUUUAAUAAAUGGAUCUAAAUGGAUGGAUCUAAAUGGAUUAAAUAAAAAUCAAUUAUCCAUUUAUAAUCCAUUUAAAUAUUUUGGUUACUUUGUUUUUGUAUUACCAUUUCUUGUAAUAUGAAUAGUUUUGAGAAAAAGCCGGAGUAUUUAUAAACACAAUAAUCUUGGACUAGUCUAAAUCGUGAAUUUCUGGACGUCCUAAUCACUUUUUUUCUCACCUUCAUUAAUUUGAUGUGGAUCUAUUCUGCAAGUUUCCGUUAAUAAUUCUACAGCAUCUGAGAUGUCAAUUAACAACCACAUGCCCCAAGUCUUCAGCGUGCAAAGGGCGUUGGAAAUUAGUUAUGUUUAAGUUGUUAAGAUUUUCCCACUCAAUCCUUCAUUCAACAGCUGUCACAUGUGGUCCUUCAUUCCCAGUUGGUUCUAGUUAGAGGGGUCUAUCCAUUUCUUUUAUUUGGUUUUUAGGGAAAUGGAUAUAUGUGGUUUUUGUGGAUAAUCCAUAUAAAUCCAUUUAAUAUAAUGGUUUUACUUGGGUCAAUCAUUUAAAACCAAUACCAUAAAUGGAUAAUCCAAAUCCAUUUAAUUAUGGAUUAUAUGGAUGGAUAAAUGGAUCUCAAUCCAAAUUGCCACCUCUACAUAUGAGUAUUGAUGGAAUGUGUAAUUAGUGUACAACCGUUUUUGCAUUUUGUACAACCUAUAUAUGCUUGUAUGUUGGUGUAAUUAUCAGAAUAUCCCUUAACUACCAAUAAUUUUCCUUUUCAGCCGCAGAUAAUCGUUUGAGAUGUUGCUUUAUCUGAAACGUUUGAAUGGCAAUGGGAUUUAGGAAAUGAGCCGACGAUUUCUCUAUCAAUGGUAGGAACUAAUUUCUCUAUCAUUUAUAAUCUGCAUUUAUGAGCCACAAACGUUCGUCAAUUUAUCCUCUUUCGAUUUCAGGAGUUAAGUUUUUCUUUUUUGUCUUUGUCUACAACGAUUUGCCUCAUCAUUUUCUCUUUCAUCCGAAUUUAACUCUGAAAUUACCUAUUAUCUCAUUAUUAAUUACACCCAAUUCAAUUGUCAAACCAUUGGUAUGUUAAUGUCCAAAUUAAGGAAACAUAUAUUUGGGUAUGUUUACUGAAAUAACUCCAUUUUAAUAUAUUUAAAGUUGUCAUUGAUGAGCCAUCUGGGUAUUGAUGGAAUAUGUAAUUAGUAUACAGCCGUUUUUGCAUUUUGUACAACCUAUAUAUGCUUGUAUGUUGGUAUAAUUACCAGAAUAUCCCUUAACUACCAAUAAUUUUCCUUUUCAGCCAUAGAUAAUCGUUUGAGAUGUUGCUUUGUUUGAAACGUUUGAAUGGCAAUGGGAUUUAGAAAAUGAGCCAACGAUUUCUCUAUCAAUGGUAGGAACUAAUUUCUCUAUCAUUUAUAAUCUGCAUUUAUGAGCCACAAACGUUCGUCAAUUUAUCAUCUUUCGGUUUCAAGAGUUAAGUUUUUCUUUUUUGUCUUUGUCUACAACGAUUUGCCUUAUCGUUUUCUCUUUCAUCCGAGUUCAAUUCUGAAAUUACCUAUUAUCUCGUUAUUAAUUACACCCAAUUCAAUUGCCAAACCAUUGGUAUGUUAAUGCCUAAACGGUUGAUUAUCAGUUUCUCCCUGUUCGCAUUCUAAGAUUGGAAAAAUUCUACCUAGCUUCAUACUAAUCAGCUCAAAAUGCUCUUCAGUCCCAGCUACUCCUGUUGGUUCAGCGUGAGGUUAGAUUUCACCCCCCCAUUUUUCAGUUCCUCCAUUAAUUUUGUCGGUAUGUUCUUAGUACUUACAAUUAGCGACUCUUAUCGCGUUGCCUAAUUGCAAGAUAGCAUUUUUCGCUUUACCUAACCCCAAUUGGUUUGGGUUGAUUAUAAUCUUAUAGGUUUGGAGAAACAGCAAUAAAGAUCUCUCGGUGGGGAUUUUAGAAAAAUGUUAGUUUUUUGUGUUGCUCUGCCUUUCUGCAUUAUCAACGACCUUCAAUUUCACAUAGUUUUAUUGUAACACUGUGUGAAUUGAUUGAUUAUAUCGUUUAUCUUUUCAUAUUAAGUUUUAUUUCUUCUCACAAUGUACUAUUGUUUGUUCAACAAAAAAAUCAUAUUGAGUUUGUUUGUGCUAACUUGGGGAACCAAAAUCAGAGCAGAUAUCAUGGAAAUCACUUAUUAAUUGCAGACCGUAAAUGGAAGGCACUAAACACCCGCGCAUUGUGCGAGCACUCCGCCUAGUUAUGUCUAUGAAAUAAUAAGAAGGUAUGCAUUUAUAAUGCAACUAAAUAAUGUUUUUUGCAAAUAAUUCUUGAUCCAAACACACUUAUAAAAUUAUAACUGGCCAUUAUUAUAGGUAAUAACUCACAAAUAGUAGAAUGAAAACUAACAUGUAGUUAUUAGAAUACACUUAUAUUUAAUUCUUGAAAUAGAAUGAAAUCACGCCUCUUGUCCAAGUAAAAUAAUAAUUGGCAUGUAUGGAUAGGAGAUUAAUUGUCCAAGUAAUAUUUUUUGUGAUAUAAUAUAUAUGAGAUAAAAAGGACAUUUAAAAAUAUUAAAAAAAGUUAGUUAAAAAUAUGUUUAUGAUGCAAAUUAAAUAAUAGGAUUAAUUGUAAUUUAUCCCCUUAACAUUUAUUUUAUGUUACUUAACCUCCUGAGAGACAAAAUAUCCCUCUACUAAAUAAUUUGUUCCCAUAUUUUGUAUUGUCUUUUCUCUUUUUUUAAUUCCAGAUCGGUUUUAUUUUAUCAAAAUUUUAUUUCUAAGAAAAUAAUAAAUUUCUCUAAUUCCAAUUUAAGAAAAAAUUUUAUUCUAUUUCUUUAUAAUUACACUAUACACAGUUAAUUAUCCACUUUUACAAUCGCACAUUCAUUUGUCAACGCUAGACUUUUUCUCCUAUAAUGAGUUUUUUUAAAUUAAAAUCUCAUUUUUUGGCCUUUUUAAAAAAAUAAUCAAUUGAUAGUGUAUUCCUUAAUAUAUGCACUGAUCUUAUGCAAAACUUUACCCACCAUCAAUUAAAGUCGUCAAAACAAAAUCGCAGGUUAAAAUUCGAUGAUUAAAGGAAGUAGAUAGUUUGAAAAUUAAAAUUUAGCAUAAUAGAGAGGUAUUUUUGUCUUUUAGGAGUUUAAGUGAUCAUAAAAAAAAGGUUAGGGGGUAAAGUGAAAGUUAGGGUAAAUUUUGAGGAGAUAAAUUGUUAUUAAUCCUAAAUAAUAUUAGAAAAAAAUCCAUACUCCAUGAACAAAAUAAAGAGCAGGACGAAGAAUCAAACAGCCCACCUAUUAGCACGCGAAAUCCGAUAAACUACUCAAAUCUAAUCAAUCGAAAGAUGAUGGAAUAUGUUAAAGUUCAUAGAUGAUCCAUGGUGGAACUUGUUCGCUCAAUAGUAGGCUACAUUUUCCUCGAUUACCCUUUUUUUUCGGUUUGAUCGGGGAGAAUAAAGAUUUUACUUUAGCUUGACCUUAUACUAGUACGUAAGAUUUAUGUUUUUUUAGGGGAAAAUGUUUAUGUUUAAAAAAGAAAAGAAACAAAAAAGCUAUUACCAAACAAAUCCAAGCUGUUGGCUGGAUGGUGUUGAUCUGUGAAUCUCCCUUAAACUAGUCAUUGACUUGAUUUUUCGAUGACUUUUGAACGUUUCUAAUCUAAUUUAAUUGUGUGUGUGUUUCUACUGUCAAUGGUAAAAAACAAAUCCAAGCUCAAUUGAUUUACUUUAUGGAGCCCAACCGUCCACAAUCAAGUUGUGAGGACUGCAAUCAACCCUUUUUAAGUUUUAAUCAUUAGUCAUUGGACGAUUUGUAGAGUUCCUUAGGAGCUACGACAAACACAACGACUCCCCACUUUCCAUGGUGUAAUAAUAAACGCGACAGUGGUGACAGACACAAAUCCGAACCUCUAUAACUGGUUUGUAAAACUAUUUUUAUUAUCAUAUUUAGUAUAAGUUUAUAUAAUUUUAAUUGAAUCGUGAAUUGUAAUUAUAUGAUUUAUAAAUUUAAGCUUAUACCCAAAUUAUAUGAACUUAUAUAAAAAUUUAUAAGAAUUAUAACAAUUAAUUUUGAACCGGAGAAAAUUCAAGUUACACAACUAGAGAGGCGUAUUGUGUAUCUUUAAGGCAAGACUUUAUACAGUUUAAAGAAAUUUGUCUGAUUGAAAGGCUGAAAAGGGGCCCCACGAGUAGUUCGGGCAAGACUGAUAAGUCCAUCUUUACGGUAAGAUCCCGUGUCCGACCCUCGCUAUGAUAAAAUUGAUGGCAAUCUUGGGCACGGCUCUGCUGUCUUAGGGAAAUUAGUCUGACCAAAAAGGCUGAAACACCCCCUAAGUGAAAAAAAAAAAAAAAAAAGGCUGAAAAGGGGAUAAUACCACUAAUAAGACUGUACUAUGUUGUCAAUUUGUUGUCUCUGGGCUCCCACACCCACCAAGUCUAUCGAGCCUUGUGACUUGUGAGCCUAUGAUCCAAUUUCCAAACGGCAUUAUCAAUCGCCGUCCCCCACUGCCCCUUGCCCUGUCACAUGUGACAUGGCACGACAUUGACCUCGUCCCAUCCUUCCAAAGAGUCAUCUUCGUCUCGCCUUCCGUGAAUUUUGAUUUACCAAGUUGCCAACGACUGCCAAUGCAAUUUCGCAACUGGCUUUUCCUUUUUCCCACUAAUUAAUUAUUCAAAAUUAUAGCACCCCUUUUUAUUGUAUUGUUUAGGACUUUUGGAAAUAUUUGUUUUUUAAAAAAUAACAUUGUAAUACUCUUUUGCAACGUAAUAUAUAUAUAUAUAUAUAUAUGAUAAAAAAAUUAAAAAACAUAUAUACUAAGAGAGUACACUGCAAAUUUUUUUCAAAAAAAUUAUUAAAAAAAAAGAUCUUAGAGUUUUGCUCGAUUUCUUAAAGUUUCGUAGCUGUUUAUUGUAGCAGCAGUUCGGUAACUCUGGUUAAAAGCUAAAUAAAUGGAUAUAAUUAAAGGACCCCAAAAAAAAAAAAAAAAAAAAAAACUUACCAACACGAAUAAAGUAGUGGAAAAUUCGAAGAUAUAGGGUUUGCUUCUCUUGCUUGCAUGAAAUGGAAUGCGAUGUUUCCUAGUGAAGAGGCUGAGUCGAAAACCUUCGUCAGCAGACUACACUUUCAAGAAUUACGCAUGGGACACGUAACUCCAAUCCUACACGUUGCAGACAGAUCCUUCAUCGAUCCUUUUUGUUUGUGUAAAAGAUUCAAGAAUAUGCAAGUCAUUAUCGUCAAACCACUAAAACCUCCCGUACUCAAAAGUAGUAUUUCAAAGGAGAAAUUGAUAAAAAGAACAAUAGAAAAAGGUUAUCACAAUUGCAUGAUCUCAUCGUUUUGUCAAUUACAAUACCCGGAGACUUGCUCGAGAAAUUGGUUGACUUGGUUACGGAGUUUUUCCCACUUCCGUUCCUAGAUUUGGAAUAUCUUAGCUCCUAAGGUUCUAAUUAAGCUCCCAAUAUAGGAGGAAAAGGAGAGAAUGUAGGAGUAACAAACAAGAUUAGCGCGUCAGGCAACUUGAUUGUAUACAUAAUAAAAUAUUUGUGUUGAUUUUACGUGAUAGCUUGUCCUAGCUGCGAUCGAUCGCCUCAGACGAUAAUCUAAUUCUAUGAUCGUCGAUGUUCAAAUUUCCACAUUGAAUAAUCAUUUUAGUUGGCGCAGUUGGUACAAGUUGGCCAACCUCUAAAGUUUCAGUGGGGCAAUUACUUAGCACUAUGACUAGAGUUAUACUACUGUCUUAGCGUGGGUGUAUACUUUGUUUAGCUAUAGGGAGCAGUAAAGGGCUGCAUCUUCUUGCUAUAGUUUAAUUGUAAAAUUAAGGGUUAAAAACAAAAAUGUUCCCUGUGGCUGUGGUACACCUAAUACACAGAAAAAUCUCCCCGUGGUUUCAAAACAUACAAAACGAUACCCUCAUGUUUUGAACUAAAUUGUAAACUAGCAAAAUUCGUUAAACUUAACGGAAUCCGAUAAAUUUAACGGAAAAUUUAACGGAAUCUGGUAAACUUAACGAUAAAUUUAACGGAAUCCAAUAAAUUUAACAGUUGAGACCAUCAUUUUCGUUAACUUUUAACGAAUUCUGUUAGUUUACAAUUUAGUUCAAAACAUGAGGUGUCGUUUUGAAAUCACGGAUGACUUUUCUGUAUAUUAGGUAUAUCACAGGAGACUUUUUUAUUUUUAACCCUAAAAUUAAUCAUGCCUCUCCUUAAACAUACAUGUCAAACGCGUCUUUUUUUUUUUUUUUUGAUUAACGUAAGUAAGAGAUUCUAAACCUGAACCACCCACUUGUAAUUUCUUUCAACUUAUCAUCAAACUUAACCGUCCCACCACCAAAAGGGGCAUCAUUUGGUGAAAGCAAAACUGAAAAAGAAUCCCACGGGUCUACCAAACAUUUUUGCGUUUUCGGACAUGAAGACAAGACGCCUUGGAAUAUCUAUUGGUGAAGCAUUAAUCAUAUCUGUUACCAUCGUCGCUUUAAACGUUGAUUGGAAUUAUUGGGUAAGCAAAAAAGGCAGGUGAUCUUGAAUUUCUAUACGUGUAAACAUAAGAUAAAAUAUUAGAACAGCCUUUCGCCAAAUCAAAGCAAAAAAAUGAAAAGAUAUGAUAUGAUAAAAUGCUCGGCUGGGUGGACGGGUACUUUAGCAGGCUCAAAGUUUUGCCAAUAUUAAUACAUAUUCCAUAAAGUGUAUCAGAUAAAACGAAAUGGAAAGUUGGAAGACCUUUUAAGCUGUCGAGCUUAGAAUGGUCCACUAGAUAAUUCCGCUUCCUUAAAGUUUUAACCACGAGGGGUGGAUGGAUGUAUAGCACUUUUGCUUUUGCGUCUCCAGCGAUGGACUUAUUAUGAUGGGCCGAAAAAGAUCCUUGAAAACUUUAUUGAAUAACGUCCGACUUUAAAGAAACGCCUUUAAUGCUGGCUACAGAAGAAUGGAGCUUUAAUUCAUGCAGUAAUACAUGAUUCUUCUUAAUAAAGUUGAUCCAGACACUUUCCCAGAAGCUGCUGACUGUCAUGGAAUACCCGGGUUUUCAAGAACUCCUACACCAGAACUAGGCCCAGCCCAGAACCUAAUAACACCGGUGACAUUGGCCGCUGAUGGGUUGAGACCUUCUCCAUUAUUUUUCUCUUUGUUUAUCUAUUCAUUUUUUUUAUACUUAUAUAACUAAUUUUUUGCGCAAUAAUUUGUUUGUCUCGAUAAUUUUAUUUUCACGAGUAGAUAAACAUAUUUAAAAAUCAAGCUCAUCCAUGAACGUUUUGUCAUUCAAUUUGCGCAAAAUACUUUCACGGUGUGAAAUGGGUCAAAAUUAUGAUAAAACUUGUAAAAUUUAAUUCAAUGGUACAAUUUCAUCAAUUUAAUUUCAAUUUUUUAAAAAAUGUAUAUUAUAAUUAUAUUUAUUCAUGUGUAAUGGAGAGAAAUUUCUCUCCAAUUGAUGAAGAGAACCCUAACCUGUUGCCGAUAACUCUAACAGUACAUAACUCUAACAAAAAAAAAAAAAGAUUACAAACGAAUUAGGCAUCCUUAAUUUUCUCAAAAUUUUCUUUUUCUUGGGGACAAGGCAAAGUUUCCACAUGCGAUGAAAAGUUUUUGAAGGACGAUAAUUGUACUAUAUUACGAUGGUUACUUCGAUGUUCAAUUUUUUUUUUUAAUAAAAAAGAAAGUGAUGCCACAGUUAGUUGUUCGUUCAUAUCAGCUUCACAAGAAUCACAGCUACAAGUAUGGGCUUUGAAGACAAAACACAUUUGUCCAAUAAUAAGUAAGGCCCAGUUUAGGUCCUAAAAAGGCUUAAAAGCCAUGGGUGUCGUAGACCAUUACCGUUUCCCGAGAAUUGCUUGAGACUACGCAUUUUUAUUCGGUGUGAGGAAUUUGUUUGUCUUAGUCUCGUUGUGGUUUUCACUUAUUCCACGUUUGGAGCCGUCCUUUGUUUUGUUAUUAUCAUGUUUUUAUUUGAAAGAGUAACUUCUUAAUAUUUUAAUACACAUCCAUUAAGUGAAUAUUUUAAAUUCAAAUGAUACAUAUAUAAUAAAGUCAUUAAUGCCAUCUCAUCUAAAUAUAAUGAUUACUAUAUUUUCAUAAAAAAGUUAAAUUCCCAAAAAAGAUUCCAAUAUUAGAACGGGAGGAGUAGAUAGAAUAUGCACCGUUUUUUGGUAGAUAAUGAAGUACUAAUAUUUACAAAGAAUAGGGGUUAAUUGGGUCUCCCCAAUUUAACCCGCUAAAUGUCUCCAAACAAAAAAUGAUCUAAUUUUGUCGGUGGUUAACUAUUGUAGAUUCGACGUCUAAAUUUGCUCGGAGAGGUGCGCGCACGGACACACAUAUUAAAGUCUAAUUUGAAAUCCAUGAGGCUGAGUCUUGCAAUUGGGCACGAAAGUGCAAACAUGAGGAAGCACUUCACACUAGGAAAUAGGAAUGGUAACGAGGCGGGGAAUCCUUCCCCUGCCCCUCCCUCACUCCGCUAUUCAAACAUUCCCCCUGCCCCCAUCGCUUGCUCCCUCGUCCCACCCCGCUUUCCUGUGGGGAUUACUAGAAAUUUGUCCUAUUAAGAAAAUUUAGCCAAAUUCUAGCUAACAAUCAAGUAUUUUAAACACUAACACAUCACCAAGUCAUUGUGAACAUAUAAUCCAUCGUAAUUUCACAAUAUUUAAUCCAAAAAAAAUAAACAAAUAUAUACGAUUUGAAUAUAAUCCAGCAUAAUGAGACAAAUAUAACUCAAGUAGCAAUAAAUAAAAGUGUAAUUAGUUAUGAAUUGCUGAUUGGGAAUGAGUGAAGAGUUGAGGAAGAAUGAAAUUAGGGUUAGUCGUGAAUUGUGAAAUGUUAAGUGUAAAAGAAUAAAAAUGUAAUUAGUAAUUUAGUAUAAAUGUAUUAGUAUAACUAAUCAGUAAUUUGUAUUAGUAAUAAUAUAUAAUUAUUAGUAUAACUAAUAAAAUUAAUUACAUUACAUAUACAAAAUCUGAUAUUUAUAACUAACAAUGUAGUUAUGAUAACUAAUAAUAUUGAAUAUUAUACAUAUAUAUGUAUUUUAGAUGGGUGACAGAACGGGUGUUUAAUCCCUCGUCCCCUGUCCAACAGAGGGAGAAAGUGAGCCCUUGCCUUAUCAUACAUGGCGAGAGCAUGCGCUACAAUUCCCAACCCUAUUUCACACUUGCUAUUCAAUAGAUUUAUACUCACCUCUAAAUUUAUACUUCACACUUGCUAUUCAAUAUCUUUUUGGAGUCAGAUUUUUUACAUUAACACCACAUAUAGCAACGUAUUUGAAUGCAUGUCACACGCGUAAAAGUUAUAAUUCAAAUUCAAAUCAAAAUCAAAUAGGAAUUGAUUAUCAUGCAUUCAGACCACCCUAUUUAUAUCAUGUUAGUAUAUAAAAAAAUUAUUUUCAUCUUUGCAGUGCAAAAAUAUAAGACAUAUAUAUUUUUUUUCCCUGAUAUAAGACAUAUACUUGAUAAUCCAAAGUUGAAAGCUGCCUCUUAUUUUGAUUGUCGUACAGGUUACAUUUUUUAUUAAAUGACUUUAAUGCCCUCGAACUCUUUAGUAAUGGUUCAGCUGACGCCAGACAGCAUAGCCUAGCAAGAAAUCUCGUAAUCUUAUCCUCUAUUUUUCCCAACGUCCAAAAUCGCCGCUAAAUCUGACUCUUUGCCACCGAAACAAACUGAAACAAAAGAUAAAAAAAGAGAAAAGAGUACUAGAAAGAGUGAAAAUGGCAAGGGUGCUGCUCUCAAAUGCAAAUAAUCUCCUCCCAUGCUUCCAAUCAUCAUCUUCCUCAACACCGUUAACAUCACUUUACCUUCACAAACAAAUCGUUAGGACUCAUCCCACCUCAUGCAAGUCAGCACUAUUGAAUCAAGAUUCUUCUUCUUCUUGUUCUGUUCUGACCACCAAGAGGAGCCUUUCCAUUAGCCUCACAACAGGGUUCCUCUUCUUUCUCUCUGGGAAAGGUUGUUCUGAUGCCAAUGCAGCUAUAUUAGAACCGGAUGAUGAUGAGGAGCUGUUGGAAAAGGUGAAGAAGGAUAGAAAGAAGAGGCUUGAGAGACAAGGUGUCCUCAAUUCAGCUGCUCAAGAGACAGGUCAACAAUCCUUCCCAAUAUUUCCUUGGAAUGUAGCCUCUAGAAAGUAUUUGCUACUUUGACUUUCGUGUCCUUUAGUUCUUUGACCUUGCUUCUUGAUUUUUUUUUUCUUUUGGUUUUUGGAUAAAGUUUCGAUUAUUCUUUUCUUUCCGUAAAGUUUUGAUUUUGUUUUCUAUAUCAGUUGAAUUGACACUGCAAGGUGAAGGGAUUAAAAGACUUUAGUCUUUAAGGCUAUGGUAAAGUUGGUUGGAGAUCGUUUAUGUUUUUCUAACACAGAUAAAUUGAGUUAACAAAUUAGUUUUCUCAUAGAUCAACAAAAAGUUGAAAUAUCCGUUUUUGCUGGUAAUUAGGCUGCUUUUGGAUGCCGCAUGAAGUCGAUUCCUCUUCGAAUUUAAGAGCCUUUUAUUGAAUCUUAGUCAUUCUUAUUGAAACAUUUCAUGUCAUUGCAAAACUCAAAAUUGGGGUCGGAAUGUGGAGAGACUUGAUUAUGGUUACUUUCAUAGGUGGUGAUUACAGUUUAGCCUGCAUUUGCUACUACCUCUUGGCAGUUGGCAAUCUGCAAGAAUCUCUUCAGCAAGUAUAGUUGUGAGAAUAAGGGAAUUACAAGCUUCUGCAGAAUCCUGACUUUUGUAACCUAAAUUUACGCUGUCGAACAUAGCAUAAUUUACACUGCAUAUUUCUCCAAGAUUUUACUGCAAUAAAACCAAUUUUGGAGGUACGAGGAUCGAAUUACCUUAAGUAAUUUGCUGGGCAGUAAAAAAGGAUAAUUUUUGUCCUAAAGGUCAGCUAUGAUCAUCUAUUGCAAAUAUUAUAUGCUUCCUGUUGGUUUCUCUGUGACCUUUUAUGGAUUGCAGAUUAGAAUGACUAGGAAAGUUCAGUAUGGAACAUUGGAGAAGAAUAAUUUGGGCUUACUAAAUCAAGCUUCAAGAAAAUUUUAAGUUACCAAAUGCUGUUUGCCUGCCCUAAGAUAAACAUAAAAGCUAAAACAAUUGCGUGUAAUUAAGAGGGAGCGGGGGAACCUAUUUGCCUUCCUAGAUUGCUUUUGGUUGGAAUUCACUUGUAUAUGGAAAUAAUUGGUUAGCACUGACAGAUAAACAUGAUAGAGAAAAGGUCAAGCCUGGCGACAGAGAUCCCUUAGUUAUUUAAUGUACCAGAUCUAUUUUGUUAAUGACUUAUACAAUAGUAGUGAUCUAGAAUCAACUUAUAUGAAUUACUGUCCCUUAUACGGAAAAUCUAGUUAGUUGAAGCCGUUUGGCAUAAGUGCUUUCACUCAUGAUGUAAGCACAAAUACUCAGAAACUUUUACCCCAGCUGAACUGGUUUCUCACUGGCUGGCAUGUAUCACCAGUGAACAUGAGAAAGCCUGGCUGUGUUUAACUAUGCAUUCUAAGAUCUAAUGGAUAGUUAUCAAUAGCAACCGUGCCACUCUUGGUUAUGUUACUAUCUUCAUGGAGUUGAAAAUUAUGAUCAAAGAUUACCGUUUGUGGGUUUACUUGUCCCUCAUGAAAGCAUGCACAUAAAUUUCAUUCAAGGGAUAGUGCUGUAUGCCAGUAAUAUUAUUAGCCAAGAUCUGAAUAGCUUUCAUAGUUCCUACAUCAGUCAACUGGAUUCUAUUAUUUGAUGUAAAUUUCCUUUUGCCCAUGCCCCUUGUAUUUUGUUUUAGCACAUAAUUGUGCUCCUAAUAUGCUUAUCUUCAUUCUUAGCUUGAAUUAAGUCCUUGGCGUGAAGUAAACUGAUGCCCUUAAAGCAUGACCUGAAUGUCGCAUUACGGUCUGAGCUUUUGGUCUCUGUCAUUUCUGGGAAUUGAUUAGCUAUUCUUUUUUAAUGCUGCAGGAUACUUGCAAGAGCUCGUUUACAAGCUCAGCAGAGUAGGCCAGGCAAUAGAGAAGAAUGAUCUUUCAACGGCUAGGUCAGUUCUUGGUCAAAGCAGUGAUACUGAUUGGGUACAAAAAGUUAACUCAGCUUUCAAGAAGGUAUCCCAUAGAUAAUAAUACUGUACAUGCCUUACUGUGUAGAUCUUGUCUAUAUGCAUUUACAUGCGUUAAUUGCCUAUCUUCCUGCAGUUGAGCUCUAGCCCUGAGGAGAAAUCCGAAGUAGAGACUUUUAGCUCCGCACUUGAUUCUUUAAUUUCAUCAGGUUUGUUCUGUGUGUUUGCAAGCGUGUUCAUCUUGGUUCCCACCAAAGGGUUGUGACUUGUGCAUGAAAACUAGUUUGCAUUGUGCAUGCAAUUAAUAUUGAGUGGUGAAAUAGUUUCAUUUGUUGCUCUGAGAGAGCAAUUGAUCUGUAAUUUGCAGUGACUAAGAAUGAUAUUGAAGCAUCUAAAACAGCAUUUGUGGCAUCAGCAUCUGCUUUUGAAAAAUGGACAACCCUAACAGGGUUGGUUGAAAAGCUUAAGGGGCUUUGAAGAAAAUCAAUCUGGCAAGAGAAUUCCAGCAAUUCCCCCAGAAUGCUUCACUAGCUUGCUUCUGGCUCUAACUCUAUCUGGUUGACUGCUGUCAUUAAUGAUCGCAAAAUUCUUUUAAUUCCAUGAGCUGUAUUAACUUCUCCAGCUUUGUAGUUAAGUGUUAAUGACAUUGAAAAUUUUGAUGUAAUUAUUCUUUGAAACCACCUCGACCACGCAAUUAAUUGAAUCAUUUCACAUAUUUGCGAUUCAAUGACCUUGGUUCUAUUGAAGUUGUUUCCUUUUUCUUUUGCCGUUGACUAAUUGGUGUUCGCCUCAACCUUGAACGGAAAUUUGGAAUAAAUGGCGCAUGUUGACAGUCACUACCUUUCUCUUUUGCAUGAUUAACUACGGGAUGGACCAUUUUUUUACAAAAGAUCGCGUAUUUAAAUUUUACGAUGCAAUGUAAGUUUUAUAUUAGUGGACCAUCCGUAAGAAUUCUUAUAUGCGGUGCGUCCUAAUCCAUGGUGACUACUAGGGUGGAACCAUCCAAAUUUUUUGUAUAUUUAAAAAAAAAAGUCUCAUCAAGUAGUAAUACCCCAAAAAAGUGGGGGACCAAUUCUUUUUGGGCACUCAGUCGCUAUGCAUCUCAUGGCCUUUUAACUAGCUCAACACUUUUCUGCAACGUUUAGACACCCAUCUCGCAUUGGUGUCAAAACUUUAACUGAAACAGCGAUGCUGACUGCCUGAAGAAGCUUGUCAAAGAGGAGCCAGCUCAUCUUAAUCACCUCAAAAAACUGCUGCAAAACAACUAACCUACUGAUAUCCGUAAGCUUGCGAGCCAAGGAAACUCGCGUUAACUGAAGAUGACUUAUUUUAUCAUUACAUAGACACAAUUCUGAUCGACAUGUUACAGAGAUCUAUGCAACCUACAAUUCCUUCAAUGCAAGGAAGGUUGGAAUGUUGAAGGCCUACUCUAUAAUGUAAGGUAGUAAUGUUACAAAGAUCUCAGUCACUACACGUUCAACGAAAGACAGCAGCGACAUUAACCUGCUAAUCUAUGAUUUUACAUACUACAGAUGUCUCGUGAACAAUCGGAGUAUCUAUUACUCAACAACAACACUACUGUCAUUCAAAAGAAGCCACCAGCCUAUGAAGGUCAGAACAAGAUAUUACAUAAACAGCAUUAUGUUUGAUAAAUUCAAGGCUUGGACUUGUCAACCUCUGCACGAUCGCCAUUCUGUAUCACACCACCCUCAGCCUUUUCGCUCACCAAGCUACUUUGCCCAUCAGCGCUCCUGUUUGCUUCACUAUUCUGAUCGACUUUCUCUUCUGCUUCCACUUCUUGCUUCUUUUCUUCAGCACCAGUUACCUGCUUGUCUCCUUCUCCAGUCCCAUCCUCUUUCUCUGCUUCGAUGGGUGGUAUUUGCUGUUGUUUUUCUUUGUCCUUGGCAUCUUCAGAGCCAUCAGAUACCUUCCCAACCUGGGACUCUUUAGAAUCCACCACUUCAGCUUCAACAUUCUUCUCCUGCUCUUCAGUAUCUUCUGCUUUGCAAUCUGUAGCUGGGGUCUCAUUCUUGUUUUCAUUCUCUCUCUCCUUUACAGCAUCUUUAUCAGUGGCCUGAGUUUCAAUUGUUUGGGUUUCACCCCCUUUCUCAUCUUGACCUUCCUUUGCAACAUCUUUCUCAGUCACUGUACCAGUAGUAUCCUUCACAGAUUUUUCUGCUUCUUCCAUGUGGACAUCCUGUGCUGCUUCACUUCCUUCAGGAGCUUCUUUCUCCUUAUCAUCCUUCUUUGAACCAGAAGAUUUUCUGCUUCUUUUCUUUGGAGUCUCUCUCUCUGGUGGUGGAGUUGCCUUUGCUUUCUCGCUGAUCCUUGCUGAUCUUCUUGGGGUUUCACCAGUUCCCCAGUCAAAUUCUGAUAUUGGAGGACCCCCAGGGUGGGUCUUGAGGUACUGGUCCAAUUGCUUCCUGCUGGUGAUCUCCUCUCCUGUUGGGGCUGUGAAUAUGAUUUCAUUUUUCUUUGGUGUACCUCCUUUUUUGAGCAUAAACUGCAUGAGAGGAAGAUACUUCAUUGGGAUUGUGUAAAAACAGAAAGACGACACCACGGGAACUCAACUUGAAGGCUUUUAACUACCAAAACAGAUGCAUUGGGAUUGUGUAAACUACAGAUGAAUGCCAAGUGAGCUAGUUCCUCAAGGACAAGAAUUCAGAACGUAAUGAAAUCCAGAACUAGGACCAUAAGUCUAGGAUCAGAAAUAGCCUAAGGAUCCUGCUUGAAUCAAGACUAGACAGGAUGAAUUAAGCUAACUAUUCCAUGAUAAGGAAAGACUAGAUCCACAACAAAAAGAUAAAACAGUAAGCCAAGACAAGCAAUCAGCCUGUUCCACAAUUUUCGGAACAUAAAUCCAGAUUUUUGGAGAAUUAUAGAGUUCACAUUGCACAAUAAAACAACACUUCAAAUUAAAAAAAAAUGUGGGAGUUUAUGUUUGAUGCUUAGUUAAGAACCCAGACAAUGAGAUAAGCAAUAUGUUUAGGAAAGAUGCAUUAAACCAAGGGAGUCCUACAAGUUGAUAUUGAAGCAUGUGCAACUUGACAAAGAUUGGCUCCAGCAAUCUUCCUUCCACUCAUGUUCAACCUAAAAAGCUUAGCCAAAGCUUCAUGUUUCAACUUAUUGUGCGAGAUAUGGUGAUGAUGAAAGACACAUUAAAGGUAUAGGCAUAGAAGAGUGUACUUCAAGCUAGUCCUUAAGGGCAUCCAGUGUUUCCUUCAAAAAUAAUAAAAACAAAUCAUAGUAUCCUUUAAGCGAAUAUUGGAUUCACAUCCACGGUCUCAUUUUUCCAUACAAAAUUUAUAAAGUUUAACCAUCCCAUGUUUUUUCAUUUACUAAUAAAGAUCUCUUCAUCUUAAAAAGUUUCAGCACAGUUGGUACAUCGUGAUAUGAAUGGCACAUGGGCAUGCAUAUAACACUGCCUCUUCAGCUGCCUUGUGUUUGCUCACAUUAAUGAAUGUGAACAUUGAAACUCUUUAAUGCAUUUAUAAAUUUUAAGUUCUUGAAUAUGCUGGGUUGUACAAAGUAGAAUUUGGAAUUCAUGCAUGGACACAAAGAACUGUAAAGACAACUUAAAAAGUUCUAUCAUCGCAGCCACAAGCACCGAUAUCAGACCAUGAAUGUCAGCAACAGUCGUGACCCAUCAGAUAAUGACCUCAAGCACCAGGUAUUAAAUUCCCGUAGCAGUCAAAACAAUAAUUGAAAUACUGGUCAUACCAGUCAUCAAGAUAAAAGACAUUACAUGCCCCAGCAGCAGUUAGGCAUACUAAACAUUUACACUAUCAGGUUUCCAGAAAAGUAGAAAAUUAGGUUGUGGGAAGCAAGUAAAUGAUAAAACUUGGCAAAUAAAUCAAACAACACGAAUUCAAUUCAGCAGAUAUACAGGAAAUUAAACCAUCAAAUCAGUGCUCUUUGAAGGAACAAAUUGGCAUGGCCUAUGCAAUAGUCUAAAUAUAGGUGUUCUAUAUAGACAAAAAUUGCACCAAAGGUGUAAGUAUCAAAUUAAGACAGGCCAUUACCUAAUGUGGUUUUGCUUCACUUGGGAAACAGGAAGACAACCAUCAAUUUUGGGAUUUUACCGAAGAGAAGGUCUUUUAUUUAAUUUAAUCUAGUAGUACAUCAUGAGAUGGAAGCAUACUUCAAGAUCUAGUCCUUUACAAAAGAAGAAAGUGACAACAAAAAACAGCAAAUCACCCCAAAAAAAAAAGCCAGUAACAGAAAAUUCCAUGAGAAAAAAGGAAAAUCAUAAAUAGAAUUCUAACCUCAAUCUCAUGUAAAUUAAAUCGUGAUGAUGAUAAGUUGACGACCCAAGCCCAGUCGACAUACAAAACCAACAACUUCUUGAGUUGCUUUACAGAACUGCUUUCCCAAGCAUAUAGCUUAUCAAAAAGCAAUAUACAAGCCGAAGGAAAAAAAAAGGCUCUCCAAAUCUUAAACGUUACAGCUAACUAUUUAGUGGAACGAAAUUAUGAUUUUACCAGACUUCAUAAUCAAAAUAUAUGGAAGAAAAGAGAAACCUACAGGUGCUCCAUAAAUUGAAGCAGCUGAUUUGGUAGCAAUUACAAUCUUAAAAGUACACAAUAGAAUACAACAUAGCAUUUCAAGAGCUGCAUUGCCUUAUUAGACGCUUUCCACUCUUAGAUAAACUUUCAAGACCAAAAAAAGUCAUUUCUAUGAAACUCAGGGUUUGCCAGCUUUGAAACCAGAAAUACACUGUGCCAAAAGUUUAGAAACAUUUAAACAGGGCAUGCUACCAAUCAAGUACAAACAAGCAAACAACCUUCAACCAGUAACUGCAUAAAUGAAAAAUGUUCCUAAAAUUCUGAGCUUAGAAAUUGCUAGUGUGUAACCUAAUUCUUGACCAAAGCCCAAAUCAUUAAACCAUUUCGAGAAUUUAGAACUCAAUCCCAGUUGCUGAAAAUGCAGAAACCAAAAAGGUAAUUCGGACAAAACCAACCCUAGUAAUUACGGCAACAAGCUAUAGGUCAAACUACAGACUCAAUUCAACUUGCACUUUCUUCUCCACAGUCUUGUUAGGAAAUCCUAGAUGGUAUCUUAAAAUACACAUGAAAGUAAAUAACAAUAAAACCUAACUCCGACUGAUAAAAUUGAAUGCACGACUAAUGCAAACAGAAGGUACAAUUAACUAUGGCAACGUCGUUAUGUAAUGCCCCAGCUUACUUAUCAUCACCAUGGAAAUUAAGUUCAUUUCCUUUUCAUCACCAGCAGAAUCCAUAUCCCAGUCCAAAAAACACAGAGUAGAACUCAUGCUGAAUAACAACAAUUAAAGAACCAAAAACAACAAAAUGACGCGGACCGAUUAAACAAGUUACCAUGGCCUUCUCAACCCUAGCUUCAAAAUUUACAAAUGAACACCCAUAGUUGGUCGAAUUCCACUUCAGAAACCACAUAACCACACCAAAUGGAAAUAUGCCCCUAACCCAGUUCACCCCAAACAAGCCAAAAAUAAUCCCAAAAAACCUCAAUAAACCCGUAAAAAACAAAACUUCAGAUAACCCCGGGUGACACACCGCAAGUCUUGUAAAUCCCACCUCAAACCAGCAUAAUUACACAGAAUUAAACGAAGUCCAAUUGAAUUCAAGGACGCAAAACUCAAAUAAACAAAACCACAAGAACGCAAACUUUAGAAAACCCAAUCAAAAAGCACACAAAUACAUGAAAAUAGAGAAAAAGGAGGACUUUUCUGAAAAGGGGUAACCUUUUUCUUCCAGCCAGAAGGAGCAGGGAGCUCCAAGCACACGAAUUCGUUGGCUUCCUCAACCGAGCUCGCCAUUUCUCUUCUUUACCUACUCAAUUUCCAGAGUUCAAGUUACUUGAAUAUUUUAAUAGCAUAAAAAGGGAAUAUAUAAUGAGCAGCGAGUCAUAGAGUGAGAGAGUCACCAGACUCAGACCCGCACACAAACAAAACGGGACCAACUAACUUUUAACUAUAUAUUAACUGCACCCACACAUGUAUGUAUGUGUAUUUACCUAAUAAUAACGAUAAAAAAAAAGUCCCAGUAAAUAUUUAGCACUGCCAGUAAUCUCAGCCACCUUUAUUAGUUUCUCUGCCUACUUAAUCUUGGGAUUUUUCGGUAAAUCCUGAAAUUUAACCACCUAAUCUGACGGUGUUUUACACUGGGAUUCAUUUUAGUGCCAAGCAUUGGAAAUGGUUGUACACUUUGCAAAAUUGGAGGGAGAGCAAUAGCCUGCAGAUGUGACACGUUGUUGAGGCAAUUUAAUGAGAUCAGAUUUGUGGUAUUUUGGCCACAUUCACUUCACUUCAUUUCAUUUAGCCUUUUUUAGCGUCUUUGGCUUAUCUUCAUUGUUUUAUCCUUUCGUGCGGUGGAUCAUUAUUAUUAAUUUUUCUCUUUUUCUACUUUUACACUUGUAAUUAACAGAUUAAAGACCUCAUCCUUAUCCUCUUCUUUGACUUGGACCUGCUUAGUAGUAGUAAUAAAUUGCAACUUGUCGUGCUUAAUUGAUAUAUCAGGCACUCAGCCAGAAAUUGGCAAGGUUUAUUUAUUUAUGUAAAAAAAAAUAUAAAUACUAUUAGAAAUGGAAAUGCAAUGGUAGCUCAUGUUAUGGAUAAGGUUGAGGUAACAAAAACCAUUACCUAAGGGCUCUUUGAUAUUCCCGCAGUCCUACAUCGAUCCUAAAGGGUUUGGGAGUUGGGUAGUUAAGCCUCCAAGUUUGUCUCAAGAGUUGCCGGCUUUUGAAAUUAAAUUUGAGAUUAGAUUUAAUUAGCUAACUUUAAAAAUCUGAUAAAAAAAAAAUAAUGGACUCUUUGAUAUGUCCAUGUUGCAGAGCCCACUAAAUGGUAAUCUAAGAGCCCAUGUUGAUAUGUCCAUGUUGAUAUUUCGGGCUCACAGUUCUGUGUGCCCCAAUCCGGUAACUGCUAGCCCAACAUUGAAAGGGCUUGGUCUCUGUCCCCAGAUAUUGCGUGUUCGUUGUGUAUCUGUAUAUAUCAUGUACUUUUUUCUUGACCUUUGAUUUAAUUGAACAUAUCAAUGAAGUACUCCAUUACUCAUAGUUAAUAUAUAAUCUGUUCUAAAACUCGAAGAUUUAGAAUCUUGGUUAGCGCUUUUGUUUGCACUGAAAUGCUACCAACAAUAUACUUUCCUUUUUCUUCUCGGUUAAAUGUGCUACUCACCCAGCUUCCAAAUUAGCUUUCAGUUAUUCACUUCCUUUUUUUUUUUUUUUUUUUUCCGGAAACGAUAGAAAUUCCAGGGCUCUUUCUUGACGUACGUACUUGCAAUUUUACACAGCUUCCCACGUUUGUGGUAUGACAUGCAACCAAACACUACUGGCAGUGCUCCAAAUGUUACAACAUAUUCUCCAUGGGUUUUUUUUUUUUUUUUGGUUGGGGUGGAACUUAUUCCCAUAGCUGGCCUGCUACCUUAUUACUCACCCUUCACCCUAGGCUAAAAAGGGUUCAAACUGGGGUAAGUUGAUGAUAAUAUGGCCCUACUGAUAUAGGAGUAGGGAUGCUCUCUGACCCAAGAAUAUGUGGCAUCAGAAACUUUAGUGAUUUUCACUUAGUAUUAUGUAUUUACCGGAAUUUUUAUUUUUAAUGCAUCUUUAUUUACCAAAAAAAAAAAAGUAUUUACCGGGAUAAUAUCAGAAACCGCUCCUGAGGUUUUUUGUAAUAUCACUUAGCACCCCUAAAAUUUUAAAAGUAUCGCUUACCUCAUUCUCAAAACUGCAAAAUAACUGUAUUAUCCCUUACUGGAUGUAUAAUUCACAUGUCAAAUAAAUGGAGCUUAAAAAAUUAAAGGAAAGAGAAACAAGAAUACACUUUCUUUUCUUUCACCUUUUUCCAACAUUUUCUCUUAGUCAUUUUUUUGGAUGACUAUGUAAUUUUUUAUUUGUAAAUAUAGUAAUUAAAUUUUGUUUAUCUUUUUUCUUUUUAUGAUCAUGAUAGAGUGGGAUAUGAUUUCUUUGUUUAUUUUGAAUAAAUUUUUAUAAUGAUUUAGUGCAACUUAAAGGUUUAUAUCAUGCGUUGAGAAGAGGUUGGGAAAAAAAGAUAAGAUUCAUGAGAAAUUGAGCUAGCAUAUAGAGUUGAAUUGGUGCUAGUGUAUUUCUUUACAAAUAUCUAUUUUUACUUUUUAAAUUUACACUUUUAUGAACUAUAGUUUUGUGAUGUUGUGGUACUGUUAAAAAUAAUUUUUAAUGUUGUGAUUUUUCUUGGAAUAAAUAAAGCGAUUUAAAAGCAUUUUUAUUUAGUAAUAUGAGCAAAAGGAUAGUUCGGAGUUUUUAAAAAUCUUGUUACACAAAAAUAACAAAAUAAAGAGAACCAAGCGACUAUUUUUAAGAUUUUAGAGGCGCUAAGUAAGUAAUAUUAAGAGAAACCUUUGGAAGAGCUUUCUGACAUUAUCCCUUAUAUAUUUUGUGCUUUUAAGGGCUGAUGAGCUGAGUAGGUGCCGCCGGCCGGGCGAUAGUCAGAGAGAUGAAGUGACAAGAAAUGCAAUGAAUGCAUGACAGUCAUGGAUUUGACGUUUCAGAUUCUGUCCCAGCCGUUUUCGUUCACACAGACACAGCUCUUUUAAAUUUAAUAAGAAAGAAAGGAAAAGAAAAAAAAAAAGAAAGAAAAAGAAGCAGCCCCAGCAUCCUACUGGCGUCGCUUCCCCAAGUUUCCCAGUGUACAGUUAUUUUCUAGGAGAAAACAUUGCCAGCUUGUAAUGUACAUUGUAGUAGGACAACCCUCUUUUCAGAUCCCAAGGACCAACAUUGAUUUGAUUCAUUCCUUGUUUUUUUUAACAGUUUUCCUAGAUUUCAGCUUCCGCUCUAAUUUUCUUUUUAUACACCUUUUUAUUUUUGUUACAACAAAUAAAAGAAGCAUUCACUAUUAAUAUCUCGUACAUCAAAACUGUUUUAAACGCCUGCAUGAAUCCGUUGUUGGACAACAGACGAAUGUAAGUGUGAAACCCGCUGAUUCUUUUUUCUAAUUGCGAAAUUGCUCUCUCAAUAUCAUCAAGUAAGACUGAAAAACAAAGAAAUGGGCGAUAUUGUUUGAAACAAUGCAGCCAAAUUGGCUUGACAAAGUAGUAUUUGGUUUUUAGUGGUCUGCUGCGUUGGCCGUAGAGGAGUGUGACAUGAUGGAUGGAUGGCAGAUGACUAAAAUGGUGGUCCAUCGAUCACUCUUUUUUAUCACCAGGAUUACAUGUGUUGUGGGAAUGCGUUUGUACGUACCUAUGCUUUGACACAAAAGGUCUUUUCCUGGUUUAUAUAUAUAUAUUUUCAGCUAUAGCGAAAUGAAAAGCAAAAAGCUUUUGCCACCAAUGGCAUUUUGCUCAUUACAGAUGCUAGAUUGGCAUAGCAUGGUACCAAGUAUAAGCUGGUAAAAGGCUACCAGGGGACCAGAAUUUGGGUUUUAACUUUCAAGCACCCUCACCGCCAUCUCUCCCCCCUCCCCCACAAAAAUUCAAUACCCUGGGAUCAUGCUAGCUGUUCAAUCAAAAUCCCUCUUCCCUCCCUCUCCUUGACCACCAGAAAAUGAUAGGGGGGGGGGGUUACAAAGAGAUAUAGGGAGAUAGAGUUAAAAAGCCUACAGCAUUCUACCAAAUGCAGAACUUUGUAACUUUUCAAUCUAGUAUUGUUUUCUUUCUUUUCACCCACCCGAAAAGGGAAUUUUACGUUCCUGAUUCCCUUCUGGUUCAAUGUCUCAAAAGAUAGUGGCUUGCCUUGCUAAAUUUGGUUAAAGUUGUCCACUGAAAGUACCAUCGACAAGACAUUUGAUAAGGUUAGUAAAAAUUAUCAGAGGAGUAGAAUCUCAAUUUUGUUGAUGUUGAACCUUCACUUCCCGCACUUGUCCAUCCAUUCUAAAGACGAUCUUUGAAAGUUAGGUACGCGUAAUGCACGUAUCAAGCUGGUAAAGUAGAAGUUUGCCAUGAAUUCAUUCUUAAUUCGUUUUCUACUUCAAGCAAAAGAUGCCAAUUACUUGGUCAUAACAAGAAACUUGGCGAAACUAGAACAAUUGAAAGCUAUCAUACAACACUAACUAAUUUUUUUUCUUGGAAGAUCGAGACAUUGUUACAUGUUUUCUCUUAUAUAUAUGAUUAGUAAAGGGCUGGAAGUCACGCAAAAGGAAAUGAAAACUUUUGAGAAUUUACAAAUUCACUAUUUUCAAUGGUAUUUUACAAAAUUUAGAUAGAGGUCGAUCGAAUAAACUUCAUGUCCCUAUUUCAGAUGAAAACUCGAAAAUUUUACCAAUUAGUCUUACAUGUAUAUAACACCUAAACGAUGCCCUAUAUUAAUAUCCAUUAGGUAACCUUAGAGCAAGAUUUUAGCACCCCAAAAGGUAAAAUUAUUAGUGUCUAGACGACGACCAAUGUUAGCAUUCAAGACCUAAAAGAUGGCAUGAGGCAAGCUGUUGGCCGAUUGAAAGGAUGGUUUCUGAGCAUGUCAUGGAUUUGUAUGCCUCAUUAGCUGUUCGCAAGAAACAAGGCUCAGGAAGAAUUGUAUGAUACUUGAAAGCAAAAUCAAGGAUGAUCGCCCAAAUUUUAUAAAAUUACCAUGCCAAUUUUUUCAGUGCCCCGCGUAAUAUCCAAAUUGCCAGUGCAGUCAAGUUAAACUAUCAUUCUCGUUUAGAUAUUAUAAAUGCACAUCGAAUAAACUGCCUAUAUCUCGAUAAUAAUGUAGGAUAUGUCCAACAAACACUACUAGAGUUGUAACCGAAAGGACUUUACUAUUAACAUUUUCUUGUGCUAAUCGCAAAGAGGAGCAAUCAAAUUUUGCAUAUAUCAUCAAAUAAGAUGAUUAGUCGGAAUAUACUUUCUGUAAAAUGUUUUCCUAAAGACAUAAACCUCCCACAAAUUUGUAAAACAAGGGACAAACAAAGAAAAGGGAUCAUGUAUCCAUAGAGGCCAGAUUGAAGAGUUCCAUAAAUACAUAAGCAAAAGAAAGUAGCUUACUGCAACAGCACACUGGUAGUAUCUUCCAUACAGCAUUUUGUAACAAGUACAACGCAGGACUGGGAUAUUGUGAUAGUAAUACAAGCUUAAUAGUAAUACAAGCUUAAUAGUGUCACAAGUCUUGUUCAAUUCAUUUGAAGAGCUCGGAAAUCACUGACAAGCUUUGUGGGGGGGGGGGGGAUUAUGGCGCUCUCAUUUGUUCAAUAGUGCAGUCCUUGGCGUUAGGCGCUUCUCAGAAUCCUGCCAAAGACGGAAAACCUAAAAGUCAUCAACCUUGAAUAUAAAGACCAAAAAAAAAAAAAAGAGUUAAUCAGUUUGUUUCGCAAUGAUUGUGCAACUAGAAUUGAGAUUAGAAUCUUCUCAAUUUUAUAUUUUGAAGCAGAAUGCGCAUCUAGCUAGUUAAUCACAUGCAUUUGAAGAGAUUGAGAACCAGAUGCAUAAAACCAUAAGAACCCUGUGUCUCCCGAACCGUGGAUGCUGUGAUUAUAGCCCUUGCUAGCUCCUAAAUUUGACCCUGGGAAGUAAUAAUACAGAAUCGUGGUACUUUUUCCGUUUCUUUCCUUCUUGCUCUUUUUUUCUCUUUUUUGAUCAAGUUAUCCUCAGACUAAAAUAUCAAAUGGCUACUCAUGAUUUGCAUACUUAUGGUGACAAGUGACAAGAGGCAUUUCGCCAGAACGAUGGACAGUACAUAAGUCAGAAAACUUAAACCUACACAACUAAAGUACGUAUCAUGCAUCUCUAAGAAGAAAAAUAAACUUCCGACUCUUUUCUUCUUUGUUAAUUUUCUUGUUUUUUUUUUUUUUUUUGGAUGGGAAAAGCUUGGGAUAUUAUGCAUGCAUGCAACCACAUCCACAGUUCUUCGCAUGCCGACUCAGUAAAUCAGCAACCCCUAUUUGCUUCAGUCAAAAAAGAAAAAUUUUUAGUCAAAUUCCUCAAUUCACGGGCAUUAACUCAAUAAUUUUACUUACCAAAAAAAAAAAAAAAAAAAUCGAUGUAUCUCUUGGUAUCUACUUCAUACACACAACCUUGUUGAUUAAUUAUAAAUAUACCAUGAUCUCUCAAUUACUCAAAUGUGUUAAGGGGGCCAAGAUGGCUAUGAUUCUUUAGAGGCUCCAAAUGACGAUCUUUUAUGAAUUUUAAUUGCAGCAUAAACCCAAAACUCGGAGAGAGCAAAACAAAUAAUGAUUAGAAACUGAAAAAUAGUCUUUUUAUUUAUUUAUUUUUUGGAGUUACGUACCUCGCCUAGUUUGGGUUUGUUAUUGGUCUCCAACAUGAGCCCAAAGUGAAUGUGAGGGAAGUGCGCCCACUUUUACAGCCAAGAAUUCAAAGUUCACAAGUCAUCAUCAGCCAAAUUCAACAAAAGUGGUAUUACUGCUCUGAUAUCUGCUGUUGUGCAAUCCAAGAAAAGGCGAGACAAUUAAAGUUUGCAAAGAUUAACGUGCACACUUACAUUCUUGGCAGCUGUACUAAAAGCCUCCCUGUGGUUAAUAUCCGGGUUAUUGGCUUUGAUCCUCUGAAUCUCUUCUCUGCACGUAUUUUUGUUUCUCCCAUCAAUAAGGUGGUGUAACGAAAGUGAUAGAUCACUUAUUGCUACUAAUAAGUUCAAUGUGGCAAUGCCCAAGAAAAACAGAUGAUUAAAGAGUGGCUAGUAUUAAUUCAGGUGAUGAGUACUGAGGCAGGCGCAGGUGCAAUUACUUUAUGAACUGGUUGUAUGCAGAUGGUACUCGCUGUCUCUUCUCAGGAGCUGAAAAAAGGAACUCGUGCGUAUGAUAUGAUGAACAAAAUGGGAGAAACAAUAAUUUUAAAAAAAAAAGAAAGAAAUUAAAAACAUGCAUAAGUAGGGAAAACUGGGGAAAUUAAAUCAUUCAAGUUACUAACGCACGCACGUCGAUUCACAAUCCUUUCCUCAGCGCGGUUUGGUAUGGAUGGUCGCGUUGCUGGCUUGAUGUUGUAACCUUUGGCGGAGGAACCAAAGUCGAUCCUGUAUUGAUCAGGCGGAGUGGAGUUCUGAGCCUGAAAUUAACCCCGUGUUACCAAGUUAAUGAAGAAACACUCGGCCGGGAUUGAUUUGUUCAAAAGCAUCAUUAAUUAAAUACUAUCAGCAAAUGUGAAAGACAGGAGUUCUGCAUCUGUUGCUCGCUGGCCCCAUCACUUCUUCACUCAUUUACUACGUCUGCACUCUGCUGAGUUGAGAAGGCUGGAUGGGGCGGGGGUCAAUCUUCUUGGCGUUGGGUGCUUUGAGUGUGAGAAAGAGAGAGGAAGGGAGAGUUGACUGAGACAUUCAAAAGAGUGAGAGAGAGAGAGAGAGAGAGAGAGAGAGAGAGGAGAGGAUCACAACAUAGUUAGGAAUAUGACGAUGACGAUGAGAAUGGAACCCAGAGAAGUGAAAGCCCCCCCACUAAAGGAAAUGCGGGAUUAGAUGGGGCUGUGUUUCCGCAGUAGAGGACAAGCCCCUGAUGGAAAAGAGAUCAUGGGGUGGCAAAAAUAAAAAUAAAAAUAAAAAACGAACGAAAGAAAGAAGUUAGCAACCUUCAACCAACAAAACCAUACAUGUCAAUCAAAACAUCAAAUCAGCAGAUCCAAAAGCAAAAUAAAAUAUCCCCUGAUAUAUAAUCCUAGUUUACUUUAACGGGGCAGGAGUUUGACACUGCCUGACUAAUUACACUGUCUAGCCGCAAAAAUACGGCCUACAAAGACUAGAAAUAAUUAUUCUGGCGGCUGUUAGGGUUCUGUCUCAGGUCUCAGAGGGAGGGAAGAAAAAAAGAAAAGACUCGAUCUACGAAGAUUGCAUCUCAAGUUUGUUAAUGGAGAGGGCUUGGGAAGAAGAGAUUUGAGAUUGAUUCCCUCAAAAGAAGGAAAAAUCACCCCUCCCACCCUAGAUUUCAGAAGCCUAAGUAGAUGGAUCGCCCACAAAUUGAGCUGAUCAAUGUUGUUACUGCCGGCCUGCCAUACUGAAGAUAUUAUGGGGUGCUGACCUGAACAUCUUGCCAGCAGGAGGAGGAGGACAGCGACUGGAAUGCAGCUGCCAUGUUCACGGACCAUAGAUUGGUGCAGUGUCCACAUCGGACGGUCACGACAUCAAAUAAGCUGCUGCAUGGAACACUCACCUGAAAAAUUCAACAAAAACCACCAAAAUAGACUUCUCAGAAGCCGCUGUUAUAAAGUUACCAGUCCCGAAAGUCAAGAAACAUACGAUUUUCUACCUCGAGAUCCCUCUUACUCAAUAUAAAUCCAUAUACCGAAAAAAAGGAAAAAAGAAAGCAGCGAUUUUUUUCCCAAUGAACUGAGGGCUAACUAUUGAAUAGCUAAAGGGUUCAAGGGGGCUAAUAAAAAAAUAUAGCUACCUCUUUGAUUCAAAAAUAAUAAUAAAAGAAACCCUAAAAUGGAGAGAGGGGAAGUAAUUGUUCUUUAUUUUGCUAUUCGCUGGAGUUUUCCAUAGAAAACCAGCGGCAGGUGAGUAAAUUCACCUCUCCACCAGCCACAGAAACAAUAAUAUGUUUUCUGGAUGCUUCCCUUGCUCUUGGGCUGAUGGUAGAGAUUGAAGUAAAGGUAUGGCACAGUGGGAGGAAAUCCAAGGCUCAAAGACUUGUCUUCAUCAGAGUUUUAUCGUCAAAAUUUCCUUACUUUGACGACAAAUUAAACAUUUAAAGGAAAUCAAUACAGUAAAACCUCUCACUACUCGCGCGCUCUCUCUCUGACUCACACCCUCUCACAUACUCUCUCUGGUCAUUUUGAAACUUUAAGACCUCAGAGUAAGACUUUUCUUUGACUGCAAAAGAAAGAAGGGAAAAGGAAAGUCCGAACGAUGGAGACUUGUCCGCAAGAAAAACCAAGCAAAAUUUUGUACAAAAGAAGAUUAAUGGAAUUCGGUAUAAUAACGCCAAAUAGUCUGAUCUCUCUGCAUCAAAAGCUAGCCUUUUCCAGCAACCAUGAUGUUCUCUCUUGUUCACCCACCCCUCCGGCGGGAAUAACAAGAAGCACUCAUCGUGCAAGAAAUGACACAAAAUAUGGAUAUAUAGUUUGAGGAUGUAUAUUAGAAGUAGAUCCCACUAGCCAAAAGAGCUUCAGAGAUUAAUUGAUGGAUACCGCAAGAACUAUAUUGCAAAAGUUGCAAGGGAUGUAGCAGAGUUGCUCAGGUGGUGGCGGCGAAACAUCGCUGCAGCUCGACAUGACUGUCUAGUCCUUCACCAAAAAAUGGAGCUAGAAAAAACAAACAACGAAGAGGAAGAAGAAGAAAGAAGAUAAAUAUAAAACCAACUCUCCAGACCCUCUCCUGCAAGCACACAAAAGAGAAAAGCAAGCAAUAUAUACGAGGGAAAAAGGCUACGAUAUAUUCUUUAUCUAUCUUUCUCUUCCUCUCUCUCUCUUGCUCUCUUUCCAGAAGUUCUAUGUAAAUGUGUAUCACAACAGUAGAGCCAGACUUUUGCGUGUAUAUGAAAAGAAGAUUAUACUAGUACUAGUAUACCAGUAAAGGGAUCUUUAUUUUCCCUUAGAAAUUGGAAAAAAAGAAUACAGGAAUUGGAGGGAGGGAUAAAAAGAGAGAGGGAAGAAAAAAGAAAAGUAGGGUUUGGAUCCAAAGUGGCUUCACAGAGAGAAGGGUAGUGAUCAAUAGGGAAUGUGCAAUAAAAAAAUACUGGGUUCAGCUGUGGCCACGGCUACCAGGUGGUGCCGGACCGGAAAGGGAAAGGUAUUGCAGGAAAUUAAGGUGAGGGGUGACCGGUACAAGGGGUUGAGAAAAAUUCCUUUUUAAAAAAAGAAAUAAUAAUAACAAAAUGGGUUUUAGAUAGCUGAAAAAGUUGUUCUUAAACGUCUGAUAUUUGCCAGCCAAAAGGGGCCUAGGGUUUUCAUGAUAAAAGAAGGAGAGGGCAUUUUGGCAGCAUUAGCCAAUGAGUCCAUAAAUAGGUGGAUUUUAGCCGCUGUGGGCAAAGCGUAAAAGUGUGGCCACUCCCUUUCCCCAUCCCCUGCUGGCGGCUUUCAGAACCGCAGCGGACGAGGGGGGCGAAAUUUCCCCAUCAUUCAAUACUCUAUUUAUGCGUAUCUCUUUGUUUGUUUCAUGUUCAUACACUUGAAUCAUGCAUCCCUUGUAAUUUAACACAAUCUACACUUUAGAAAUACCAAUUAAAACCUAUAUAUCUUCUAAUUCUAUAAAAAUAUUUUCUUAAUCUUCGUAAGACUAGAGCGCGAAUAAAUUGAUUCAAAGAGAUCUGUGUCACAUAUAUUUUUGAGUCUAAUGAUAAAACUUCAGAAAGAAGAUCGUUCUAUAUAUUUGAAUUGUUUUAAGAACAAAAAAAAUUUUUUUCUUCUUAGCUAAAAUGGUAUUCUGUCUUAUUUGAAGUGCGUCCAAUACUAUAUUGAAUUAUUUAGGGAGGUAACAUAGAUAAAAGAGGGAAUUUUACAAACUUUAAUAUAUAUGAUGGGACCGAAAAUUUUGUAAGCCAAUUCUAUGAUUUAAUCAAAGUUGUGAAGUGGAAGGGCAAUUUUCAACCUCAAUUCCUUGCAGCUUUACACUCAAAUUGCUUUAUUGGGCAAUGUUUUGCACAAAGGAUCUAGAAUUUCAAUGAUUGUAAAAUAGAAUUAGAAAGGUCCUGUUUGAUAAUUUAAUUCAGUAGUUAAAUUUAAUAGAUUUAGACCUUAACAUAUUCAGACUUGUUUAAUAACUAAAAAUAGGGCAUCUUCAUAAUUAAGUGACUUUGAAUUGUCUAGACAAACUGUUCACUUAUCACUUAAUAUAAAAUAGGAUCAAAUAUUAAGGUUUAAGUAUUUUUUAUAUGACAAAAAUAACCCACAAAAUAACAUGUUAUUUUCUUUUCUUGUUGUUCAUCUUCUAGAUUACACAUACAUCGACUAGCUUUUUUAUUUUUCCUCAAAUAGUUUUGUUAUGAAUAUUUUUUUUCAUUUUAUGGUUCAUUAUUUUUUAUUUUAAUAAUUAAUUCUUAUUUAAAAUAAAAUAAAAUAUAUAAUAGAUAAUAGCAUCAUUAAUGAAUAAAUUAGAAUAAGGACAAAAUUGUAGAAUAUAUAAAAUUUAGUAUACAAUUGUCUACAAUUAUCAAAGAAGCAUAUUGUAUUCAAUAUUUGGAUUCAGAUAACGAGUUUUAUCAGAUAAUGAGUUUUAUCAGAUUUCUUACUCAAUAAUUCAAUAAAUUAGUAGAUUAAUAUUUCAGAUUUCAAAAUUUAGGUUUAUCAAAUUUCUAAGACAAGUAAUAUCCAAAAAUACAAUAAACUUUCUCUCUUGUUGUAAGUUAUAUUGCACAAUCAGUGUCAUGUAUUUCCUUUAAAAUCAACCCGUCACUAUCUUUUAACUGUCUUGUGCAAUUAACGUACACUGCUAUGACUGCCAAUAAUCCACUCCUAAGCACAAAUGUUAUAUUUUGCAUUUUGACCAUUGCCUAAUAAUAAAUCUAGGAUGCAACAACAAAAUUCUGGUUUCAUAAAAAAUAAUUAUUCUUCUAUUUUUGUUCUAUCAAGUAAAUUUAAAAAUUUUGUUUAACAGACGCUUAGUUGAAGUUGAAUUAUAGGUUGAUUCAACCAUUUUCGAAAUCUUACUUUUAUGGAUUAAUUCCUGUUCCAUGAUAAUAAAUAGUUUAUCUUAUGUGUAACAAAUAAGUAAUUGUGUAAAUUGGUAAAGCUGGUAUCAACAUUCUCAAUUUGUCAAAGAAUAAAUAUCACCUUAAGACUAAAAAAUAAUCGACAUAUGAUAAUUAUUUUGAUAAGAGUUCGUUCAUUUUUUGUUAAUUGAUCAAGCUAAAUGUGAACAAAGUUUAGUUUGUUUUUAGAGAGAAAUGCAGUUUUGAUUCUCAAUGCUUGGUAUUUGUGUAAUUUUGGUCAAUAAAGUUCGAGUAGAAACAAAUCUAGUGCCAAAUAUUUGAUACUUGGUGCAAUUUUAGUUCUUAAGCUUUGGGCAAAAAUGUUCUGGCCUUUAAUAUUAUCAAUUUAAAGUAGAUUUAGGACAACUGAUUGAUUCUCUCAAAUAUUGGUGGAAUCAUUCAUGUACAGCCACAUGUUUGUUGAAUUAAACUUCUUAGAGAAGAAGUAACAUAGCAAGUAAUUUUGAACAAUAAAAAUAACUCAUGUCAUGGCACUUUAGCAACUAAUUAACCAAGAAAUAAAAAAAAGAAAGGAAAUUUGUUAAUCUAUAUGAAAAAAAAUUAAGUUAUCAGUUCUUAAUUUUAUUGCUUAAAGUUAGCUAUUAGUUUGUUUCUUUAUUUUGAAAUUUAAUUAUAACAGACAUAUGACUAGACAUGAAUAAAUUCUAUUAUUAAUUGGGAAAAAUUCUUUAAAUGUCCUAAAUCUAUUUUAAAUUGGAUACACUGAGGACUAAAUUUGUUGUUGCCAAAAUUUUAGGGGUUCAAAUUGUACAUGUACUAAAUGUUGAGAAUUAGAUUUGCUUUUUAUCAAAAUUUUAAUGACUAAAACUGCAUAAGGGAUAAUUAUUGGGGACUAAAAUUGCAUUUCUCCAUUCCCCCUUCUCCCUCUCUCUCUCUCUCUCUGAUUGAGAGACUUAACUGAUUGAAAAAAAAAAAAGAGAAGAAAAACUUUAGUUGAAGAAACUAAUUAAGUGCCUAUUUGAUAACAUAAAAAAGUGCUGAAACUGAAUUCAUUCAGACAUUCAAAUGUUGUGGGUGUUUGAUAAAUAAAAAUUCACCUGCUGAACUUAUUAAGUGGUGUUGAAUUUGUAUGCAUUUCUUUCAGCACAAGAAUCGUAGCUGAAUGCUUAAUUUGAUAAGAGUCAAGAGAUUUAUUUCAACUACUUUAUUUUAUCUACCAAAUAUAUCCCUGUUUGUUAAUUACAUUCAAAAUCCUUAUUUAAUUAAACAACCUAAUAUUCCCUAUUUAAAAUCCUUAUCUAAUUAAAAAAAAACAACCUGAUAUUUUCUAUUCAAAUUUUUUUUUUAACAAUAGUAUUUUUUUGCAGUAAUUUUCAUCCACAAACAUUUAUACUUUGAUAUUUUUUUUGUGCAAAUAAAUAUUAUUUAUGUGAUGCAGCUUAUCCACACACACGUGGCUUUAUGACACCAUAUCGAAAUAUUAGAUAUUAGUUGUCUGAUUUUCGAAAUGCUUUUCGUCCAAGAUCAAAAGAAGAACGCUUUAACCAAGUACAUGCAAGAUUGAGAAAUGUAAUUGAACGUGCUUUUGGAGUAUUAAAAGCUCGUUUUCCCAUUCUCAAAACGAUGAAACCAUACCCUUUUCUCACACAAAGAAACAUUGUCAUUGUAUGCAUUGCUCUUCACAAUCAUUGUCAUUUUCAUACAUAACAAUUUUAAAUUAAUUAAAUCAUUGGUUCUAUUUCCUUUUUGGAUUAAAAGAUAGAAGGACAAAAUUGUACAAUUUAGCUCAUUAAGCAUUAAGUUAUGAAUAUUUAUCAAACAGUAUAAAUAGAUUCAGCAUUAAAAUUCAGACAUUCAUAUAUCUCUUUUCAGUGCUUAAAAUUCAGCAAAUUAAUUAUUUCAGUAUUCAGAAUUCAAAAUUCAGAAUUCAGAAUUCAGAUUUAGUGUUAUCAAACGGAGCCUAAAUAGGAUUCAGACCAAAUACUAGAGAGUCGCUACUGGAUCUUUAGCGUUUGGUUCAGUUACACGGCCUCCACAUGUUCGCAGAAAAUAAAUCCAUAUAGAUAGGAUUCCCGGCAUAGACCAAUUAAAACCGAACUUAAAAAAUUUAGGGCCCGAAUCUGGUUGGAUUAACGUAGAUAUACUUCGUAGUCUCAAAAAAAAAAAAAAAAGAGUAGAUAUUUUUCAUAUAGUAUGCUGUAACUCACUUAACCAGGAAUUGAAUCUUAGACUUGGUCCAUUUCUGCUAAUGUAAUAAAUACCGUAAUGUUAUUUCCUAAAAAACAGAAGGCAACAAGACUAACGAGGUGUUUGAUUAAGGACGCUCAUCCGCCGUUUGAGUUGAUGUGGAAUUGUAGCGAUAAAAACCCUUUUUGUUCGAAAGAAUACAAAUUUCAUUAGCCGGUAACCAGUGAACUAGCUAGCUAGAGCAAUGUUUCACGGAACAAGUUAUACCUGGGCUUUCGCUAAACCUGAUAUAAAUGUCUUAACUAUAAGAUGACUACUAGACGUCCUCGACCAAAAUAUGUGAACCAACUUGGUGGUUUUGUCGAUUUCAUUCUGUACUUAUUGUUGAAGGAAUUAGUGAUCCACAAUGUUGGAGCCUUUAUUGACAAUCCACUGUGAACACGAUGAUGAUGAUGACUGCCGACGAAUGAGAAUCGAUAUACGAAGACCCUAUAGUUAAUGAUUUUUGACCAUGUAAUUGUGGAUUUUCAAUUUGGUGAACAUGACACCAUAUCAACAAACACCUGUUGAGUUGAGUAGGGGGUUUUAAAGGAGAGUUACAUCUUUAUUACUUAAAGUUUUAAACAUGCCAUGAUCAUUACCUAUUCAGGCCAUGCACUGUGUUUCUGCAAAGCUUUACCAGUAAAUUAGUACGUACACUGAUCAAAGGCUUUUUUGGGUGUCAAGCAUAGUUAAUAAAAUAUAUACUUUACUGGUUGAUGCGUUAUAUAUAACUUUUCUUUUUCAAGAUCUGCAAAUUCGUCGAAAGAAUUCAUAUAAAAUUGUUCUCGAGUUAUACAAAAAUCACUUAAUUUUCAACAUUCAUUCAUGUAGAGGACAAAUUAGAGCUAUUAAAAUUUUAACUUCUAUAUAAGUCAGAAUCCGUCUCCAUUAAUUGCUUAGGAAUACAUAGGGGAGCCAACAAAAGCGCGCAGUUGUGAUCUCCUGUUAUUUGAUUUCUUGAGGAGGUUUUCUCUAAUAAACACCACCUACAUACAUUAUUGAUAUCUAGGCCUACAAGCCUGUGAUUUUGAAAUUUACAGUAGCUGCGGUCAAAUUACUGCUUAACCAAGUGAAAUUUAUCCAUUCUUUCGUUACUUAUUCCUACAAUUAAGGAAAUAUGCAUCCCCUCAAAUAUCCAUCUGGUCAUCUGAAAUCUCAGCAGUUGAAAAGUAAACUUUAAUGUCUAUUACCUAGGAAAGUACAACUUAAAUGUCAAAUACUUAGGCAAGUUUUCUCUGCGACCUAAAACUUUAACAGCAAUAUACAAUAGUCACAUGCAUGGACUUUUUUUAUAUCAUCAUCACACAUUAUUCACCAGCAUUUCUCUUACAUCAUCAUAAGCCAUAUAUUAUUGUAUGUCGGAAUUGGUCUCUCAUCUAUUGAUCCAUAGACCAGAUAACCUAAGUACUUUGAGACGCAUAAUAUUGGCACACCUAAAAAAGUUUCUAGUACUCCUACGAUGCCAAAUUACGAUUUAAUGCACGAAAUUAUCCUCCAAUUUUUUUUUUUUUGGCACAAGUAUUUGCUGUGUUUCUUUUUCUUUUCAAAUUUAUGGUCAAGUAAAGAUUUUGAGAAUAAUCUAUGUAUUGCAAAAUGGAUUUUUGUUAAGUUUCGCAAUAUUGAUUGUUUGCAAGAGUGAUAGUUUACAUUGUAAUUGAAGAUUAUUUUUUAUGAUAGUUGGAUGCAUCUGUGGCUAAAUUAAAUUUCAAGAUAGUGAUUGGUUUAGAUUCUAAGCAACACUAUAAAAUCAAUAUGAAAAAAGAUAUUAAUUGAGGUAAAAACUAUGUGAGUUGAUGAAAAAAGAUGAUUUUGAAUCAGAAAAAUAAGAAGCAUGAAUUGAGACAUGAACAAGAAUAGAAGAAAUGCCAUGAACAAUAGAUGAUGGAGGGCAUUUUUGAAACUCAAUGAACAUAAAACAAUGAGUGGAGUGUUAGAGGCUUUUAUUGGAAUGCAAUUAUCAUUUGUCAUAUUUUGAUUGAAUUUAUAUGUACAUAAACAUAGCAAUAGUAAAAGGAAACUGAUAAGUUCCUUCCAAAUUAAAAUUAGCUUAAUUCAUUCAAUCCCUUCGCUAGACAAAUGCCAUGCUAGGAGUACAGGUAUUAAUUAUAAUUUAAUUAUGUUGAUCUGUCCAAAUUCGCUUAUCAAUAAUCCGCCCAAACCCACACAUUAAUUUUGAAUGGGUCUAAAUAGGCACCCAUUAAAUCCAUUUAAUUGGUAGAUAGUGGGCUGACUCAAUUCACCCAUGUAUACCUAUUUAAAAUUAAUUAUACAUUUAAAUUGAACUUCUAGCGAGUGUUAAACAAAUAAAUUCGAAUUUUUUACCAAUCUAAAUAACAAUAAAAUACUAUUAUUUCUUGUCAAACAACAUGCAACAAAUUCAAAAAAAAAAAAAGAAAUUUAAGUGACUGAUAAAUGGAUAUAAAUUGAUACUUAUUUAUACCCAUUUAUUUAUAUAGAUAUAAAUGAGUUGAUCAAAUUAUAACCAUUAUCUAAUUAUGAUCCACCCAAACCUAUUUGAGUUACUCAUUUUGACACCUCUAGUUAGGAGUGAGACAAUAGUUUAGUUUUGGAUUAAAUUUGACAAAUCUCCAUUGGAAACACCAUCCGGAAAUGAAACCAAAAGAGAAUAAACAAUCUCUGAGUUUUCGUUCCGUACCCUUCCUUAACACAAAGAUUUGUUGGGAUGAACAAUGAGUUUGUACAUGUCUAGAAAAAGAGUGCAUUCCGUCAAUGAUGAAAAAAAAAAAAAAGAAAAGGAAGAAGGAAAUAGUCCAAUUCAUUCAACGUGUUGAAGCACAACAAAUUCGGCUAAAAUGUCAGGGCUGCGAUAUUGUAGCUCUAAUAGCUAAAUCUGCAGUUCUCCGUGUUCACAUUCAACUAAAAUGUUGAAGAUGACGAAAUUGUUAAAGCUAUUAUAUAGCAUGAGCAAUGAAAAAAAACCAAAACAUUAUCAAGAUUUCUUCGUCGGCUGACCCAACUUGCUGAGCUUUGGUCGUUUUCCAUGUCUGGAGUAAUAAAUAAGCAUGAACAAGAGGCUCAAUGCCUCUUUUUUUUUUUUUUAAUUCUCUUCCCUUCUUUUUUUUUUUUUUUUUUUUUUGGGAGGUUGGUAAUUGGGUGGGGGGAUUAUUGUUAUUCAGUUGGAGCUAGUGGUCUUGUACGUUAUUUCAUGGAAGUCCUUGCAAUGUGUUCAUCCGGCGCCUUUAAGGCUUAAAUUGAAGUUUAAUCAUUGUUUCACCAAAUUGUAGGUAUCAUUUGUGUUCUUUUUUCUUCUUGAGCAUCAUAUAUAUAUUGAAGAUCUUCUUUUUCUUUCUCGACCACAACCACAAAUGAAUCUGUCAUGGGCGCGUAAACGAUUUUGUGCUUAGUAGUACCGUUUGUUUAUUUGAGGAAAACGCUAGUGACAUACGACUUGUAUCGCAGACAUAAAUUAAAUGAUAACUUACUUUCUUGAUUUUGAAAAUUUUCAUAUUUAUAACAUGCCAUGACUUUUAAUCGCCCUUUUAGGUGAACUCUUUAACAACAAAAGAUACUAGAUAUUUUGUUGGAAUCCUGCAUCACCUAAUGAUCAUAGUUUUUGGAGAUGAUUUGUCUAAACUAUAUGGCGACCAACUAGAUCAUGACUCGAUUAAGACAAGGGUCGACCUUAAUUGUCUUAAAUCCGUCACCACUAUUUUAUCUACCUGUAGUUCAGCAAUCUAUUGAUCAAUCUACCACAACUGUUGGGACAACGUAAUCGCUUUGGGAAUAACUUCCUUGGGCGUCCUAAAUGUGUGUGUUUUGUUUACUUUCAACCUUGGACUUGGAUUUUGGAAGGUACUUGCCGAAUGCUGAGCAACACUUAUCAGUCAUGGAUCCCCGGAAAAAAAAAAAAAAAAAAAAAGGAAGCUGAAAGGGCAAAAUGAAACUUUAGUUUUGUUACUUUCAGGUUUAACGAAAGUGUAGAUCGAAGUAGCAAUCUUAAUUCAGACACAUUUGACUUUACGGCGUCUGUAAUACUCCCUCCGUCCCACUUUAAUAGUCAUGUUUCUUUUUUCACACAAUUUAAGAAAAAGUAGUUAACUUUGUUGGAAAAGUAAAUUUAGAUUGCUAUUUUCCUAAAAUACCCUCACAUUAAAUACGGUACAAUUUUAUGGAAAUUUGAAUUGAUAGUAAAAAAAGAAUCAACUCUCAUUAAAUAGGGUAGGUUUAUAGUAACAACUACUUACAUUGAAUAAGGGUAUUUUAGAAAAAUUAAAAUACAACUACAUUCUUCAUUUGGAAAGUGAAUUAUAAUUUGGGACAGAUGAAAAAGGAAUACAGGAUUAUCAAAGUAGGACGGAGGGAGUAAUAUAUAAACUACUGAAACCAAAUGCUCGUAUUAUGUGUAGAAUAUAUGGCUUAAAGAAAAUCAAGUACACUUAGGGUCUGUUUGUUUCGGGUGAAAAUGUUUUCCAGGAAAAUAUUUUCCUAAUUUCCCGUGUUUGGUUGCACAAAAGUUACUGAAAACAUUUUUCUAUGUAAAAUAUUUUCACUCAUCUUAUGGAAAACAACUUCCCUUCCAAACUUAUUGAAGUUGUUUUUCGAAAUGCAUGCAUCCCGCCUGUAGUAUGUUCCAAACUUAUUAAAAACAUCUUGUAGUAUGUUCUUUUUUUUUUUGUGUAAACAGGAGGAUUCGAACCCAAGAACUCUUCCUUACACUCCCUCCCCCGUACCACCCAACCCUUCCCUAGUAUAUUUAAAAUUUAAAAAAAAACUUUCAUCCUGCUCAUCCUAUGCUAGUAAUUAAUUAUGUAUAAUAUGGACAUUCUUUUCUAGAGAAACUUUCAGCAGUGAGAGUGCAAGAUAUAUGUCACAAUAAGCAUUGCAUGUGAUUGAUAUUUGACACUAAAUGGCCAGCAGUUUGUUUAUUGCUUAAGGAGAUAUUUUUUAUUCAUAUAUACAUUUCUCCAAGAUUUUUUAAAGUUAAACAAUGAGAUAAAUUUUCUUAUUUUGCAUGGGAAGAAGUAUGUAAUUAUAAUGUGUAGAAAGUAAAGAUAGAGAUAAACGUGAAAAUAUUUCAAAAGUUUAACAAACACCAGAAAAAUGAAGUAAGAAAAUAUUUUCAAUAAACUAACCAAACACCUGAAAAUGAUGAAAGGGAAAUGAUUUUCAUGGAAAAUUACUUCCACAGAAAAUAUUUUUCCAAGAAAAACAUUUUACUUCCAACCAAACAGACCCUUAAAAUGCAGAAAUUCUAUCUCAGCUCACCCAUGUGGAAGUUUGAACACUUGCAUUAAUAGAGAAAGUCAAUUAGAAGUAAUUAAAAAAAUCAGUAUCAACUAAACCAUGGAUUUGAAUAGUAUAGGGUCACUUAAAAGUAAAAAGCUAAAAAAAUUGAAGAGUACGUAUACUAAAAAAAUUGAAUCACCCAACCCCCUCUUUCUCUCCUUGGGAGGGGGAGAGGGAGAGUGGGGGACCUCAACCUAUAUGGUGCACAUUGGAUUUCUUAUCCAUGGUCGGUUGGGAAGACCUGGAUUUUCAAUCGUGGCACGUAUAAAUACGAAGUAAUUGUGAUUUGGAUUCACCAUGGGGCAAUGGAUACAACUAUUUUGGAUUUCUUUGGUUAUGGAAGCACACAAUUUUCACAUGUAUACUAGCUAGAGUAUCGCAUAUGAUACUCGUACAAAUAGAUACUAGCCAGUUGAUAAAUUGAUGUCCAGACAAAUUUUCCUGCGUAUCCAAAUCGAUUGUUAACGCCGACAAUAUACUGUUCCAUAUUCCAAAUUAAAUAGAGGACGAUAUACAUACAUACUUGCUAAGUUGAACAGGAAGUGCCCAAGGGGUUACGUACUUCCCCUCGUCCAGAUAUAGCUUCUAGUUUUCUACUGUAACCCCCACAGCCGUAACUUUGUUUUGCAGGCUGAGAAAUGAAUUCAUCGUUUUAAAACUGAAGUUUUGAAAGCUUAUAAUCCCCUCCUACUUGCUUAAGUUUUGGUUUUCCUUGAACAAGAAUGAAAUUCACGGCUGCGCUUUAAUUGGUGUUGAUUUUUAGCUACUUCUAGUUACCAGAGUCGGGCAUGCAUAAAGUAUACAUCAUAGCAAGAGUAGAUGGUUAGAACUAACAAGGAGUUGAACCACUACUACUCCUGACCAUAAAAAUUAAAGGGGAAAAAAGAAAUUUUUUUUUAAAAAAAAAAAAGAAGAAGAAAGAAAGAAAGAAAAUAAGGGCUAUGGGGUGAAUGGUAGGAUCAUUAAGAUUGAGUUCUGAAGAGAAUCCGAACCAAACAGAAAAAAGUUGGAUGAAAACUCAAAAAUAGGGACUUUUUGCGGCAGCAUUGCUAUUUGCUGCCCCCCUGCCACAUUCUGAAAUGCGUUCCCUCAAGAUGUAUUAUAGGCUCCAAGAUGAGCAGAGACUUAGAGACACCUGAAAAAAAAAAAAAGAAAAAUCGCCAAGAAUCAUCCAAACAAACAUUAUUGCCUGGUGGAGCCUCAUGUCUGGAAUAGUGGGAAGCCAAAGUUGAGAAUUAUAGAAGGAUUGAGAAAAAAGACGACUACUACUACAACUACAACUACUAAAGCCAACACUGACGCAGAAGCCACUAUUUCCUGCUAACAAGGCUGGCCUGCGAGCAAGCAUAUUCACAGAUGUUGAUUCUGCCGCAGUCUUGAAUUGCACUUCCUACUUCCUACCCUACUAUUUCUACUUCUCAGUUAUACUACUAUUUCCCUUUUUGCGCUGAAGAAACGAAUCAGAAACAUGAAAAGGGCUAACGAAUUUAUAGCCAAGGAACAAUAAAAACGGAGAGAAAGCGAAAGGCGUGCCCCUCCCUUCGCUGCUGAGACUGAUCCGCAUACCCCUUAAAAGAUGUCUCGAACAGAGUGUCUUUUCAUGAGCUUUCUUUGUUAAUACUGACUACAUCAUUGCACCAACUUUCUUGGUUAGCUUUCUAGUUUGGUUCUGUUCUUUUUGAACCAGAAAGCUAAGCUAGGAAUUCGUUAGCAACCAAAUUUAUUACUUAAUUUCAAUCCGAUAAUGUAUUUUGGACUAGAUCAUCUGCAACAACAGCAUUUUUUUUUCCUUUGAUAAGAAUUGGAUGGUUUUGGCUCCAAUGAGUCAAGACAUGUCUCUGAAACUGUAAGUUACUCACAAGAUUGCUUAUAGAUCACUUACUAUUAUAACCCUCAAGUCUACAGUAAAAAUUGUAACCCUCAAAUCCACAGUAGAACCCUAACAGGCGGACCUUUUGCAAAGAAAUGAUCCGUGCUAACAAGUUAAUCUGAUAUGUGUUGGCCAACAAUAGCUGCAUGCCAUGCAGCGCUUCUUAUGAUGGCAAUUUUCUCUAAUGUGGAGAACGAAUCGCUGGGUUCGUACGCGAGUCAUUGCGUGCUCACUCUACUCGAUGUACAUUGUUAGUGGUAAAAAACUAAGACCCCUAAUAACCUCUUCCCAAUAAUUAAAAAGAAAUGAAAAGAAGUCAGACAAGAAAUGAGCACCGAAAUUUAGAAAUGAAAUAAUAAACAUAUCUAGCAAUGUAUAGCUCGAAGCAAAUUAUUACUAUGCCUUUUCUCUUCUCACAUUAAAUCCCAAAAUUUCUGACAUAAUUGGCCCCCCCCCCUUUUUUUUCUCUAUCUGAAGAGAGGAAUCACAAUAUAUAUUGCUCAUGUUUGUACUGCUUUAUACAUGUGCUGCACUCACUCUCUCUCAAGAGUCAAGAGUGAGAGACUAGAGACUAGAGGGAUUGGGACGAAAACAUAGUUGGAUGAGUAACAGUUACAGUUAGCAGCGUCUGUCGUGACGUCCAUUAUUCAGGACGUGGAUGGGACUUACCAAUCGACCGUGGCUCAUAUCAUAUGUGUUAUAACCUCAAAGGACUCUACGUACGCAAUUUCUUUGUGCAUAUUGAGAUGCGAAAUGUUGCAUUCUCACAUGUUGAAGGAAUAAUUGCCGGUCGACCAGUAUUUUCAGAGUCCUCACCCGAUGGUACCCCCUCCCAAGCAAUCAAGAAAAGGGAAAAGGAAAGAAAUUGAAGCUGAGAAGUUAAUGGCGUGGAUUGGUUACUGGAUGAUAUUCUUCCUUUCAUGAGGCCUAUAUAGGAGCAGCCGUCUCCAUCCGAAAUGAAACUUAUGCCAACAUCCACAGGCUACUAUACUGUGCAGCAGAGUUUAGUGUAAGCGAGACUCAUUCAUUCAACAACUUUCUAGCAGCUACGCUCUGAUACUGUAGUAGCAGCACACUUUAUCAGAGAGAGUUCCUUUGAUCAUGUGAGACUGUCUGAGUCGGUUUUAAUUAAGUCAAACCUCAUCUUCUUCUUCUUUUUUUUUUUUUUUUUUUGGGGGGGGGGGGGGUGUUCGUGUGAUUCAGCUGGUUUUAACAAAAUAUAUAUAGUAGUAAUGCAGGAACAAAUAAAAAUUUUUUUUUUUUUUUUUUUUGUUGUUUUUGUGUGUGUGUGUGUGUGGGGGGGGGGGGGGUUGUUAGGGAGGGUAUUGAGGAACGUGUUGCUGUCGCUUACUCUUGACGCCAUGGAUUAUGGAUAUGGAAAUAAAAAAAAAUGGCAUAUGUUCUUCUAGUAUUGUUCUUUGAUCCUCCAUUGCAUCUUUCCAUGUGAAAGCCAACAGAUAUAUAGGCGGCUUGCCUUUGAACCAGCAUAAUGUAAAUUGUCUCUCGUUUUCAUCAUAAUCUCUCCUGAUUAAUGAAGACUUUCGGUUCCGCUAAUCCCCUAACUGUUUGGAUGUUAAUUAAUUGAGUUCUAUGCAGUUCAUGGAUCAGAGUAGGAUUAAAUGACAUUAAAUAAUUUAAUUGAUCUCGAUCGUGUUAUUUCCUAUGGAGCCGCAUAGAGUUAACACUUGCUACCAUCUCAAUUUCCAUAGUCGGAUGAUCGCUUAAAAUGAGACGUUGAGAACAGUUAACUGACCAUUGCAAAACAAAAAGAAAAGAAAGAAUGAAGCCAUAAUAUUAAUUUGAGGCUUCGAAUGCCGAAAUAAUUUGUCUAACUCGAUGUUGAAAGGUGUACAAGAUGCUUGAAGAAGAAGAAGGAGGUAGGCGGAUAAUGAUGAAUGGAUGUAGUUGUACAGUGCGCGUUAAAAAAAAAAAAAAUAUCUGAGAAAAAGAUCUGCCCGUCGGUCGUGUCAGGGAAGGUACCGGCUGGCUGCUAAAUCCAAAAGUCUAUUUUGUCCUCCAGGCGGACAUGGAUCGUGGGAGAUGCCACACUUUGGGCCUCUAAGGACACAUGGGACGUUCGUUGCCAUGGGACUCAAAUAGACGCGUGCACGAUCCACUUGCCUCAAACGGCAUCAGUAGCUGGAUGACUAAUCCGCAUAUCCGAUCCAUCCCGCUCUCUCCCCCCCCCCCCCCCCAAAUUAUUAAAAAAAAAAUCAAAAUAUAUUUUAAUGUUCUCGUACAUUACCAAAAUACUAGUAAUGAUCAUCAUUAUCAUAAUCCGACUAAAGGCAUCGGCCAAGACUCUGAUUUGAGAUCAAAGGUUAGGAAAGUUCUUUUUCAUUGUCGUUACAAAUUGGGGGUUUGGCUGAUCAAUCCUAAACGCUCAUUUACUCGACCGUCAAGAAAAAUUACAACACUUAUGUGCUGAUCCACCUGUCGCCUAUGUAAAGGAUGCAUUUUCCACCAAAUACAUUUGGACCAUAUGUAUCUUACACGUUUCUUCGAACAGGCUGUUCUCCUUGUUCCUUAUGCUAUAAACGAAGAGAGUCAAUUUCUGUUGACGUUAUUUUUGUAACUGAUUUUUUUUUUUAAAAAAAAAAAAUCGAUUAAAUUCAUUAUUCAUUAAUUUGUAGAUAAAAAGGGCACAUUAAAUUCAAAACAGAUAACCCAUCAAUUUCGAUAUAUUAAUCAAACCAGUGCCCCUUUUUUUUUCUUUUGGAAAAUUAGUUUAACUAAUUCCUAAAAUUGAGCGCAUUUGAGAGGUAACAUUUAUAAUGUGACUCAAUAUUUAGAAGAAAAGAAAUCAGCAUCGUCCCAAUAACGAAAGAGGAACUCUUACUAUGGAUAUAUCGCCAUCUUAGUAGCAGAUAGCAUCUUUCCCUAACGAACCGAAGGACAGCCUAGUCUUCUUGUCGGAUCCGAAGCUGAACUUAAGAUCGUCUGCAUCAACUUGAGCAGAGGCACUACUUGUCGAGGGGAAUGGGAAUGAAAACACAAGCGCUGGAGUUGACCUCUUAGUGCCAAAACUGUAAGCAGGAACUGCAGGCAAUUCAUUUGGCUGAGAUACCACCUCAAUCAAAGAGAAUGGCAUGACGGAGGGUGUUGGUGGCUCUGACAAUAUACUGGACGAGGCGGAUACAGGGAAGGCAAAUGCAGAGCCAUUAUCAGAUGACACGGCACGACUCAGAUCGUGCCUCCCAACAGAAAUUUGUGGCAAAGUCGGCCUUGUCCCAGAUGAGUGUGGUGGUGGCUUCUUUGAUGGCUCAAGGCCGGAUUCACUCUGUGACGUUGUGACAUGCUUCCCAUUACUCUGAUGCUGGGAAGGGUUUUGUAGACUCGACCUCUGCCAUAAAGACAUUAAGAGUUUGAUUCAACAGAAUAUUCAACAAUAGUCAUACCGAAUCAAUUCGGCAAGCAUGGAUCCUGUUUCUCCAUGUAACCAGAUUCAACUGGUCAGAAGGCCACCACAUCACUAUGGCAACUCUACCCUCCGUUCCCUUCAAAUGACACUACCAAUCAACAAACUACUUCAAGAAUUAAUGUAAUGGCCUCGCAUGUUUAGUCUCUCUCUUUCAAGCUUAAAACUAACCGGCACACUAGUCCAACAUGUGAUCUAUUACUAUUCACAAUAUGUUUUAUCCAAAUCUUUCAUGAUAUAAAUGCCAGGUCAAACUCAGACAUACAUUAUCAUGAGAUUUUAAGAUUACGAAGUCACAGUGUGAGAUCCAUCUAGCUCAAUACGAACUGCAAAAGAAUAACCUGAUGAACCAUGAAAAGCAACCACACAAGCGUAACAUGAUCACAAAGAAUUACAUACCUCCUGGAAACUUUUUAGUUGAGAAGAAGUACUCUUCAAAGAAAACAAGGACCCACUGUUGGUAUCACUUUGCACUGUAGCAUCACCAUCGUUUAUGCCAGGAGGCUGACUACUUGCGACUAUAGCAUCUUUAGCUUCUUUACUUCUCUCCUGGGAUUCUACUUGAUUCUUUGAAUUGCCUCCAAGUUUAUUUCCUUCAGAAAUAAGUUUCGGAUCAGGCAAAUCAGUUUGCUUUAAAGAACCAAAUUCUUUGGGAUUUGAGAAGCUGAUAUUUUCCUUCAGCGUAGCAUGGGAAGCCCCAGGAGGAGAUCUCUUCCAUGCAGUAGCUAGCCGUAUCUCUGCUGCCUUCUCUUGAGGUGUGGGCUUGCGACUAUCAAGCUGUUCCAAUAUUCUUUUUACUGCCUGACUGCAUGAUGGGUUCACAUGGGUGUUAUUCCCAACACCCUUUCCCGCAUGGUUGCCUUGCUGUUGUCUUGAAGUACUAGCUUCACCAGGUUCCAGAUUCUUCUGUAAAUCAGGCAGGAGGCCUUGAAAGGCAAUGGGCUGUUGAAUUGGUGAAGGAGCAUCUUUAGAAGGCUUAAAAAGAAUAGACCCUCUUGGUCUGGCUUCUGAAGCAAGUUUAUUUCGCAUGUGACGGACUGGUCCAACUGAUCCAUAGCCACUAUCAAGCACAUCAUGUCUUGAUUUUACCUUAAAAACGGAAAAAAAAUAACCGUAAAACAAACUACUCUAUAUAUACAUAAAAGAAUGCUACAGCAAUUUGAGUCAUGAUAGUCGAUAGAAGGAUUGCAGCUUGGAUACUAAAUCUACUUCUAUACGACUCAUCAAAAAAGAGCUCAAUCAAUAUCUGACGUUUCAGAUAGGAUAGACCACCACUGACUCUACAAGCAUCUCUUGCAGAGUUGACCAUAGGUCGCUAUAGAGAAAGAUGAAUUUUACAGAAGAAAAAGAUCACAAUGUGUGAUGCAACAAUAAUAACCCACUAAUGAGUUAUACCUGUCCAAAGAACGGCAUUUGAGAUUGCUUCGUGGAGAUUGGUGAAGUGUUUAGGUACCUGCUAUCAGCUUGUGACUGAGUCAGCUGACAACAUAAAAGAGAAAAUAAA
rnacentral:lncRNA from 1 species